UAGCAAAAGAAAGGGACGUAGAUAUUUUGCAAUAAUAAAUCGUUUCAUUAAGAAUAAAAAGAUUACACAUAAAUUAGAAUAGAGGGAGUAUGUGAGAUAUUCUAACAAACAUUAAUGAUUUAAUUUAACCAUCGAGCAAUUCAAUAGCCACACUUUGGAUGGAGAUCACAUCUCCACCCGUUUUAGGAACCACAGUUACCGUAAUGGUAUCGUCAUCUUCCAGUUCAAUGUCCUCUAACAGUUCAGUAAUGCCUAGCUGAAACAUCUCAUCAGAAUCCAUUUUCUGAUUAUGUGCAUGAACAUGAGGCAAGUUGACAUAGCUCCCCGCGAACUCCACCUUAUCAAGCUCAUCUGUAUUCAUAUCCUCAUCCUCGUUCAGGAACACAUCAAAUCUUAUAUAUUUGUUAGUAUCAUACUUUAAACCCUUGAAUAUUAGCACCUCUUCUUUUUCGUCUUUAUCCUUUUGACUCCUUGACGUAGUUGGCCUAUUGAUGGAAAACGAAAUGGGUUUGUUGAGGUUAGCAAUUGGGAAUACUUUGUUUGCUGGCUUGAUGUUUGUUACAACCACUUUUCCUUCUCUGCCCUUUCUUGUUGGCCUACAGUUGAUCCAUGGGAUGGCUGCUGGCGCGUAAUCAUAACCCAUCUUCUUCGUAUCCAAACAGUCUCCUACCCUCACACGGUAAGGGUUUUUGUUUUCAUCAUAGAAAAAGAAUUCGGAGUUCAACCAAUCUGGAUCUAUGAUAUCCCUUCUUUUCCCGCAUAGUCCUUUCCAUACUUUCCACAUUCGGUCCACAUUGGCGUGGUGGCAAUAGAAAACCGGGUCUAAAGCGGCUGAGUAGAAAUUACCCAUAUCUUCACCUAAUGACAGUUUACCACCACCCAAAUACGGACGUGUGGAUUACGUCUUGCAUCAUAAAGGGGAGUAUUUGCACGAUCGAACAUGGGAGGUAAACGCAUACCUUUUGGAUGGUCCCAAUUCCAAUAAGGUAAAGCGAAAGUUGGAUCAUCAAUGAGUUUUCCCAAUAUUCUGUCGUAGAAAAAUAAGUACCAUCUAUGGAACGGGAAGAAAAGCCAUGAUUGAUGAACUUGUAAAAUUUCAUCACCGAAUUUGUAAGCACCAUUGCAAUAAGCACAAUGGAUGUUGGCUUGUUGCAUGAAUGAACGAGGAUCGUCUUUGUCUAGUUCCUUCAUUCUUUUAGUUUCCAAUUGGUACUUUGCUAUAUAUUCCUUAGUCACGUCUUGAGCAACAGGACGUUUACGGAGCUUAGACAUGGGAGGAAGAUUGUAAUAUGGAAUGUUGUUCAAGUCCUUUGGUGUAGGAGGGCAACAACUAUAUUCUACUAGAUCUUUACUCCCCGUUUUCGUGGCUUUACUACAUGAUUUCAGAUUAGGCGGCGGUAUAGGAGAAGAAAAGGCUAAUGGUGCAAGAUUGGAAGCACUGUAGAGCCCUCCUAAACCAAGAAGCACAUUUCUCCUAUCGAUAUUUGCUUUAAUAUUUUGGUCGUGCUCAUUAGCAUUGCAUGAGACGUGGAAACUUUGACUACGCCUUCUCUUCAACAAAUGCGGAGAAUAAGGUUUUGCAAAGAAUGAUGAGAGUGUUGUAUGUUGAGCAUAGUGAGACUGAUGAGCUGUUAUAUGAGUUAGUCAGAUUAAACAGUAAAUGUCAUGAAGUUAGUUAGCUGUUAGUUACUAGUUAAACUGUGGUUAGUUUAUAAUUAACAAGAUUAGAUGGUUAAAGUAGAUCCAAUUAUACACACUAUAUAUAGUGGUGUAGAUAUUUUGUUAAAAGAUAAUUCUGUACAGAAUAUUCAAUACAUUUUCUGUUUCUCUUCUUCUUAAUCACUGUUCUUCACAUUCUUAUCAUGGUAUCAGAGCUUCAGAUCCAUUGACGAUCUCCGUUUUUCAGUACAGUAGAUAGCUUGUUGCAUUGUAAAAAAGGCAGAUCGUGGAAAAUCUUGAAAUUUUAGUUUUACAACAAUGGCAUCUAAUCCCAAUCCAGAAAUCACUUCCAGUUCUAUGCAAGGAGGACAAAUUGUAUUCGAUGCACAUCAUCCCUUACAUCUUCAAGCUUGCGACACUCUAGGUAGUUCUUUGGUUUCUAUUCAGUUGACUGUAUCUGAAAAUUACGCUUUGUGGAGUAGAUCAAUGAAAAUAGGUCUACUAGGUAAAGGUAAAUUGGGAUUUGUUAAUAGCAAAUGCUCUAAGAGUUCAUUUCCUGCUUCACUUCAUGAUCUAUGGGAUAAAUGUAAUGCCAUAGUACUCUAUUGGAUCAUGAUAUCUAUUAUAAGUAGGGAGUUACUUAGUGGUAUAGUGUAUGCUAGCAAUGUUCAGCAGGUGUGGAAUGAUCUAAAGGAAAGGUUCGACAAAGUAGAUGGUUCUAGAAUUUUUUUUCUUCACAAAGAGAUUGCUACUAUGACUCAAGGAGUAUUAUCAGUUUCUAGCUAUUACUCUAAGCUGAAGGAGCUUUGGAUGGAGUUUGAUUCCCUUAUGCCUUGUCCUAGUUGUGCAUGUGAAGUGUCUAAGACCUAUGUUGUUCAUUUCGAAUAUCAGAGGUUAAUGCAAUUUCUUCUAGGGUUGAAUGAAUCAUAUAAUCAGUGUAGAAGUCAAAUCAUGAUGAUUGAUCCUACACCAGGUGUGAACAAGGCUUACUCAUUAGUAAUGGCUGAAGAGUGUCAGAGAGUACUUGGUAAAUCGAAUAUAGUAGGGACUGAAGGCACUAACUCUAUUAAUUCUAGGCAAUUGACUGAAGCAAUGGCAUUUUUCAGUAAUGGAAAGGGGUUUACUAGAUCAUGAGGACCUACAAAUCAGUCUGGAGGGUCUACUCAGUCUGGAGGAUCCACUCAGUAUGGAUCAAGUUUUAGACCUCAGAAAUCUCUUAACAACAAUUUGUAUUGUGAUUAUUGCAACUGGAAGGGCCACACUAGAGCUGUGUGUUUUAGAUUGCAUGGGUACCUUGCUAACUGGAAAGGUAAGAAGAGGACUAACCCUGGUCCUAUCACUGCUGCCAACCUUGUAAGAGCAAAUUCUCCUAGCAAUGGUAAUGCUAGUUUCAUGGAUUUUCAGUCUAGUUCAGGGUUUCCUGGUCAAGUUUUUACUACUGGGAACAGUUCAGGCAACUAUCAGAUUCAUCAACCUCCUUCGUUAUUAGGAAGUACUUCCUACUCAAAUUCUUCCCCUGCUCUUAUGACUAACAUACAGCCCUACCAGUAUCAGACUACACAGUGGCCAUAUCUAGUGCAGCAGCCAUCUCCUCAUCAAUACUUGCAAAUGCCACUGGAACUUAAAAAAACUACCAGUAAUGCUGCUGGAAGAGCAUCAGGUAUGUUAAACUGUUCUAUUUAUCCAAAUGUUGUUGACAAAUGGAUAGUAGAUUCAGGAGCCUCCAAGCAUAUGGUCAAUGCUCUUCACUUGUUAACUUACUCUAUUACUCUUCAUGAUUCCCUUGAGGGUAAAGUACACUUACCUACUGGUAGUUUAGCUAAGGUCAGUCAUAUUGGUUGUUCUCAGAUACUUGGAGGGAUUGAGAUCACCAAUGUACUGUAUGUUCCUGAGUUCAAGUAUAACUUGCUCUUUGUGCCAAAGUUAACUAAGGAGUUGAAUUGCUGUGUUCUUUUCUAUCCUGAUCACUGUGUAUUUCAGGAUCUCUCCAGUGGAAAGGUGAGGGGGAUUGGCAAGUUGGAGAAUGAUUUGUAUGUUCUUCAGGCUGAUUGUCAAUUGAAGUCACCAGCAACAGUUUCUUUGUCAUCAGCUUAUGCAGUUUCCACUCCUACAUCAUGUGUCUCAUCACCUCCUAUAGCUCUUGUUAACAAGAAUGUCUCUCUAUGGCAUAAAAGGCUGGGCCAUGUUCCAUUUACUACUCUUAAAAUGCUUGGAUGUUUCAAAUCAUUGUCGUCCAAGUCUGAUACACUUUGUACUGUAUGUCCUUUAGCUAAACAAUCAAGACUUUCUUUUCCAUUGAGCAGUAUCACAACUACUACUUGUUUUCAUACUUUACAUGCUAUGGGGUCCUUAUAGAGUGCCUACUCAUGAUCAUAAAAGUUAUUUUCUCACGAUUGUGGAUGAUUGUUCCCGAUAUAAUUGGUUAUUUUUGUUAAAUUCCAAGUCUGAAGUAAUUGUAGAGCUUAGAAAUUUUCUUGCAAUGAUCAGGAAUGUAUUUUCUGCCAGUAUAAAGAUUUUAAGGACUAAUAAUGGGUGUGAGUUUUUUAACUCGCAAGUGGCUUCUUUACUCCAGUCACUAGGUAUUCUUCACCAAAGUUCUUGUAUCUACACUCCACAACAAAAUGGAGUCGUCGAACGAAAGCAUAGACAUAUUUUAGACACAGCCAGAGCACUGAGAUUUCAGGCUAGUUUGCCACUCAGAUUCUGGGGAGAAUGUGUUCUUACCAGUGUAUAUCUCAUCAACAGAAUUCCCUCUCAAGUUCUUAAAGGGAAGACUCCGUAUGAUGUUUUAUUUCAAUCAUCACCACCCCUUGAUAACUUAAGGGUGUUUGGAUGCCUUGCUUUUGCUAUAGAAGUCAGAAAAGUGAAUAAAUUUGCCUCCAGAGCAGCUCCUGCUGUUUUUCUUGGUUAUUCAGCAUUGCAAAAGGGAUACAUAUUAUAUGCCCUGCACACUAAGGAGUUUUUCGUGAGUAGAGAUGUGGUGUUUAAGGAGGAUAUCUUCCCAUUUCAGUCUAUGCAUUUAGAUAUAUCUCCCCUAUUUCCUGUUUUGCAGUCUAUUGAGUUGUGUGACUCAACUCCUUUAUGCUUUCAUGUUGCUCCUACUGUAACUGAUAGAAGUUCCUCUGGUAUUACUCUUGCAUCUGAGCAUGCUGAACAUGCUCCUGUAGCUCUUACUGAUGAGCCAGCUCAAGUUCUAGUUCCUUCUAUUGCUGAUCCUUCUAUUUCCCCUACUGCAUCUCUUCCUAGUAGGAGAUCUUCUAGAAACAUCAAACCACCUUUUUGGAUGCAUGACUUUAUUACUACUCAGCCUAAGUCUAAAUGCUUGUAUCCAAUGUCAAAUCAUGUUAGUUAUGCCCAUCUUUCUGGUGUCUAUGGAGAAGCUUUAGCUGCUUAUUCUAGUAUUAUUGAACCUACUUCCUUUGCUGAGGCUGCUGGUCAUCCUAAAUGGGUAGAGGCUAUGAGAUCAGAAAUUGCAGCAUUAGAAGAUAACCACACUUGGAGUCUUACUGAGUUACCUCCAGGGAACCAACCUAUUGGAUGCAAGUGGGUCUUUAAAGUUAAAUAUCUCACCUCAGGUGCUGUUGAAAGGUAUAAGGCCCGACUGGUUGCAAAGGGUUUUAGUCAAAAAGAGGGCUUAGAUUACUCAGAGACUUUUUCUCCUGUUGCCAAAAUGGUUACCGUAAGAUCAGUCUUGGCUGUGGCUGCUGCCAGACAUUGGUCUGUGUUUCAAAUGGAUGUGCACAAUGCAUUUUUGCAGGGUGAUCUUCCUGAGGAUGUCUAUAUGGUUAUACCACCUGGUUUUUGCAGACAGAGGGCGACUGGCAAAGUCUGCAAACUUCACAAAUCCUUAUAUGGUCUAAAACAGGCACCAAGACAAUGGAAUCUUAAACUAACUGAAGCUUUAGUUCAGUUGGGAUUUGUUCAAAGCCAUUAUGAUUAUUCCCUUUUUACCAAGAAAGUAAAUAAGGAGUUGAUAGUGGUGCUUGUGUAUGUAGAUGAUCUACUUGUGACUGGCAGCUGUAGUAACUUGAUUGUGCAGACUAGAAAUGAUCUUAAACUCAAGUUCAAAAUGAAGGAUCUGGGAGAACUAAAAUUCUUCCUUGGUAUUGAAUUUGCUAGGUCUAAGGAGGGGUAUGUAAUGAGCCAGCGCAAGUAUGCCUUGGAGUUGAUAUCUGAGAUGGGUUUAAGUGGAGCCAAACCAGUGUCUACACCUCUGGAUCCUAAUCUUAAGCUAACAUCCAUUGAGUAUGAUUUACACGUGCAAGGAUCAGGAACUACUAUAUCAGACAGGCCCUUAAAGGAUGUUGGCAGAUACCAAAGAUUAGUGGGAAGGUUGUUGUACUUAACUAUGACCAGAGUUGAUAUCUCAUUUGCAGUACAGACAUUAAGUAAAUUUAUGCAUGCUCCUAAAGAAUCCCAUAUGGAAGCUGCUCUAAGGGUGGUCAAAUAUAUCAAGACAGCUCCUGGACUUGGUUUGUUUAUGCCUGCUCAAAGUUCAGAACUUCUGACUGUAUAUUGUGAUUCAGACUGGGGUACUUGUGUAUAAACAAGAAAGUCUGUAACUGGAUAUUUAGUAAAAUUUGGAGAUGCACUUAUCACCUGGAAAUCAAAAAAGCAAGAGACUGUUGCCAGAAGCUCUGUUGAAGCUGAGUUCAGGAGUAUGGCUUCAGCAGUUGCAGAAAUAACUUGGCUAAUUGGAGUGUACAAGGAACUAGGGGUGACUAUCAAACAACCAGUGGAUCUAUUCUGUGACAGCAAGGCUGCAAUACAAAUUGCAGCCAAUCCCAUUUUUCAUGAAAGAACUAAACACUUUGACAUUGAUUGUUACUUUGUCAGAGAAAAACUAACUCAGGGUAUGAUUAAGACUCAUCAUGUAUCCACCAGAGAUCAGUUAGCAGAUCUUCUUACAAAAGGGUUAUGGAAGGCUCCUCAUCUGCACUUAAUGGCCAAGCUGAGUUUAAAAGACAUCUUUCAGCCAUCAGCUUGAGGAGGGGUGUUGAGCAUAGUGAGACUGAGGAACUGUUAUAUGAGUUAGUUAGGAUGAACAGUAAAUGUCAUGAAGUUAGUUAGCUGUUAGUUACUAGUUAAACUGUGGUUAGUUUAUAAUUAACUAGACUAGAUGGUUAAAGUAGAUCCAAUUAUACACACUAUAUAUAGUGGUGUAGAUAUUUUGUAAAAGAUAAUUCUGUACAGAAUAUUCAAUACAUUUUCUGUUUCUCUUCUUCUUAAUCACUGCUCUUCACAUUCUUAUCAUUGUAGUAGUGAGAGUUUUGCUACUCUGGUCAUCAAGACUUAAACAGAUAGAAUUAAUGGAAGAUGAAGAAGCCAUUGAGUGAUUGUUGUGAUUCGUAUCAUCUAUUAAAUAAAAGUGAAUAAAAUAAUCAUAAAGUUACAUAAAAACAAAAAAACAAAAGCUAUUGCAUUUCUGACCUUACGUGUCCACAUAAGACAUGACAGUAUGCUAAAAUAUAAUGUCACCAACAAAAAAGAUAAACAAGAAAGAUAAUGAAAACCCAUAAAAUAAGUACUACUAAUAAGAGAUAAUAAAAAUGAACAAGGAUUAUGUGGAUUUUAUUUUUACUGAAUGGUUAUGAAUUAUAAUUCUGUAAAGACUUAAUUGUAUCCUCAAAGAAAUUGUAAGUGUUAUAAAUUGUAAUAUUGUAAAUAUCUAUCUUGUAUGUUGCUUUGAGAAAAGUUUGAGACUAAAUGAAGGAACAUUUUAGAAAUAUAUUAUUAUCUAACUUCUUUUGCAAAUGUAUAGCUCAAAACUUACAUUAUAAAUAUUUAGCCCAAAACACAAUUCGGUAUAUAAUAUUAUAUAUUUAGUAUACUUUAAUAUACAAAUUUAUAUUUUAUUUUUUACAAAACUAUUUAAAAACUUGAUUUACACUAUUAUACACUCAAUAUAUAAUAUUAUACAAAAUCAUAAGAGAUAUUUGUACAUCCAUAUACAAUAAUAUAUCACAAAAUAUAAAAUUAUAAGAGAUAUUUAUACACUCAUAUAAAAUAAUAUAUGUUAUCAUGUAAAAUACGAAUUUCGUCUUUUUUCUUGAAUCCAAGCAUUUGAUUCAUCCAAAAGCACCUCUAAACUACAUCAAAUCAUCCAAAAUUUCAUUUUAGGCUCCUCAAUACACAUUCAAUCUUUUGCAACAAUAUCCACUCGAAUUGGAGCUUAUUUGCGAAAAUUCAAUUUUCAAAUUUUGAAGCUUCGAUUUUCAACAUUAGAUGUCUGUGCCUCCAACGAAAUGUCAAUUCUCCUUAAUAGUAACUCCCAUAACGGAGAUAAAAUAAAGAUUUAAUUUAAAAUUUCUCUAAGACUAGGUACCAUUAUCAAUCACUCAGUUAUACACAUAUAUGAGACAUUCAUUUCACUCCAAAAAAAGCAAAACAAACAAAUCUGUUAUUUACUGUCACCAUAGUUGAGAGAGAGAGAGAGAGAGUGUUUUGGGUGUGCAGGGAAGAGAGAUAUUGUUAGGUUAGUGGCUAAAUUUGGGUAAGUUUAAAUAGCUUGUCUAUUUUGACAAUGUAUUUGGAAUUUGGAUCAAUGGUACUUUGAAGUAAUUCUCUCUAUAAAUAAAGAAAUUUUCUUUUAUUAUAAUCAAUCUUCAAGAAAAAAUAAGAAGUGUUGUUUCUUCUCGCUACUAUAUUCUUUUUCUUCUUUUUAUUUUAUAGUUUUAUAACAUAUUGUCAAUAUAAAUCUCAUAAACUAAAGUUGAUUUUAAUUUUAUAAAGGGAAAAGGGUCUGAUAUAUCCCUCGUUAUAAAAGUGGCUUAUAUAUAUCCUUAUCAUUAUACAAAUGACUCACAUAUAUCCCUACCGUUACAAAAGGAGUUCACAUAUACCCUUUAUCUAACAGAAGUGAAAAAAUUAGUUUUAAAUUUAUAUUUUUACUCUUACUUUUAAAAAAAUCAUGUAGGGUGUUCAAGGUAUAUUUUCAUCCUUUUCAUACAUAAAUUAUUUUUUGACUUCUUCGAUUAUCAUUAUUUGAGUUUCUUGUUCUUAUUUUAUUUUUUUCUUUCAUUUUUGGCUAUAUUAUAAUUUUAAACUAUUUUUUUCCGGUUAUAUUGUAAUUUAGUUUUUGUAUUUAUAUAUAAAAAAAAGAGGCAUCUACGAUAGAUUUUUACAAGAAAAUUAGUGAAACAUAAAUAAAUAUAACCACCAAAAUAAUAAAUUUAAAUUAGUCGUUAAAACAAAAAAAAAGUCAAAAAAAUAAGGUGCGAGGAUGAUUAAAUAUGCCCCAUAUGGAUUACAUAUAUAUUUUUUAAAAAUAAUUAAAAAAUUAAAUUAAAAUUAUCUUUUUCACUUCCGUUAGAGGAAAAAGAUAUAUGUGAGUCAUUUGUAUAACAGUAGAAGUAUAUAUGAGCCACUUUCAUAACACAAGAUAUAUCAGCGCUCUAAAUAACAAAAUUGAAAGAUAUAUCAGACUUUUUUUUCCUUUUAUCAAUCAUCAAAACACAAAUCACAUGUGAUACAAACAUGACUGGGAUAAAUAAUUAUCUUCCGUGCAAUAAAACAGAUGCUUUGAAUUAUUAUUUUUUACUCCAAUAAAUAGUACUACUAUAUUUUAUCUAGUUUUUAAAUACAUUUUCGAUUCAAUUUAUUUAUCUUAGUCAUUGUGUAUAUAUAUUUAGAAAUUGCAAGCAUAUUUUCAAUGUUAUAACAUUUUUAAAUACUUUCUAAAUAUUUUAGAUUGUUAAUCAUGGUAAGUUGUAACAUAUAAUAAUUUUAUCUAAUUUUAAAGUAUACAAAAAAUAGAAAAUUAUAUACCAAUUUUAUACCAAACAUUAGUUAAUGUGACCGUUGUCUCUCUCAAAAUAUCUCUACGGGCCUCGCCCACCUACCACCACACAUCUUAAUUUUUGAGUUUGGACCUUUUUGGCAGAUAAAAAUCAUAUUCAUUUUCCACUUUAAAACACACACAGACACAAAUAAUAAAUAAAGAAAACCUAUUGAAUUUUAUUUUUUUGUAGGAUUUAGGUUUACUGGUGAGAUCGAUUGAUUUGGUUCGCUUUUAUGUAGAAUUGGUUAAGUUUAUUAAUUUUAAAUUUAUAAAUAUGUUAAAUUGAUAAUCAUAUUAAUUAUCAAUUUUCAGUCAAUCCAUUUCGAAUCUAAAUAUACAAAUUAAUGUUCUAUUUAACUCACCCUCCUCUAAUUUGUUUUACAUUUUUAUUUUUAUGAAAUAAAUGUCAAAAACACACCUACACUAUCCCCUUUUUUUUAUUUUCAUACCCAAACUAUUGGAAGUGUGAGUUUCAUACUUAAACUAUCACUUAUUAGUUCGAGAAACACAUCUCAAUGGUGUGUGUAAUACACUCUCUUUUAUUUGAAAAAACCUUAACACAUGACAUGCCACAUGGAUAAAAUAUUUCACAUUGACUAAAAUUAAAUAAUAAACUAUUAAUAUUAAUUAAAAAUUAAAGAUUAAAGUACUACUAUCCCAAAAAAUAUAAUUUUUUUAAAAAUAAAAUUUAAAUUAUUUUUCUUAUCCCACUCCACUACCUCCUCCCCGUACCCCAAUAAUCCCCCAUCCANNNNNNNNNNNNNNNNNNNNNNNNNNNNNNNNNNNNNAGUUUAUACCCAAACUAUUGGAAGUGUGAGUUUCAUACUUAAACUAUCACUUAUUAGUUCGAGAAACACAUCUCAAUGGUGUGUGUAAUACACUCUCUUUUAUUUGAAAAAACCUUAACACAUGACAUGCCACAUGGAUAAAAUAUUUCACAUUGACUAAAAUUAAAUAAUAAACUAUUAAUAUUAAUUAAAAAUUAAAGAUUAAAGUACUACUAUCCCAAAAAAUAUAAUUUUUUUAAAAAUAAAAUUUAAAUUAUAAAAUUGGUAUUAUUUUAUUUUUAAAAAAAAAAAAUUCUACCUCAUCAUAUUAACCCUCUGUUCUUACUUUAUUUAUUUAUCUUAAAUUUUUCUCGUUUUGUGUUACAUAUGUAUAUAUAUAUUUUUAGGAUUUUUUUCUACUUGUGUACCGAAUAUAACAUAAAUAAAAAUUUUAUUUUAAAAAAAGUCUUGUGACGGCAAAUAAAAAAUAUUUUUGAUAUGUAUAUCUAACACAAAACGAGAAAAUUUUUUGGAAGCGGAGGGUUAUGUGGAGUGGGUAGAGUUAUUAUUAUUAUUUUUUAAAAUAAUAUCUAAAUUAGUAUUUGUGGGGGGGGAGGGGGGGGUCGGACGGUUAGAGGAAGUGAUGGAGUGGAUAAGAAAAAUAUUUUACAUUUUAUUUUAUAAAUUUUUUUUUUUUUUGGAUAAUAAUUUUUUAAUCUUUCAUUUUAACUAAUAUCAUUAAUUUAUUUAUUUUUUGUCAAGGCGAAAUGUUUUGUCAUCUGGAGUGUGAUGUGACAAUUUUUUUUAAAUAAAAGAGAGUGUAUUACAUACACCAUGAUGAGAGUGGUAUAAAAGAGAGAGAUGUGUUUCUCAAACUAAUAGGUAAUAGUUUAGGUAUGAAAUUCACACUCUCAAAAAUUUAGGUAUGAAACUAAAAAAAAGGAGAUAGUUUAGGUGUGUUUUUGACGCUUAUCUUUAUUUUUAUUCAUAUAUACACUACCUUCAUGCGUAAAGCUGUCAAAAAGGGCCGGCCCAGCCCAGCACCCAGUCCAAGCCUCGCGAGCCAGGGAAUUUGUAGGGGUAAUGAGGGCCGGUCCAGCCCAAGCCUCGCGGGCCAAGGAAAUUGAAGGGCUAGUGCGGGCCGAGGGCAAUGGCAGGCUAGCCAUUCUUUUUUUUCACUUUUUUCUUUUCAAACUUAUGUUCUAUAACAUCAAAAAAAUGAGAAGAUUUUCAAAUCAAAUAUGGCAAACUAUGGUGUUGUCUCAAUAACACUAACGAAAAAUCUAGUGUAAUUAGCAUAUAUCUCUCAUACCAAAUACUCGAGCGAGAUAAGAAAGUGACAAGCAAGAUGGGAGGGAGGCAAGGGCACGAGAUUUGUCUAUGUAUCCUAGAUACAUGCGAAUCUACUUGGAUAGAGUAUAUCUAGAACAAAUUAACCUAGUUUUGAGUCUAUAUAUUCCGAGAUACAUGUAUUUGGACGUACCAAUCUAGUAAGAUUUAUAAUAUUACAACAUAAGUAUAUUUAAGUAAUUAGAUUAUAUAUUAGUGAGAUUAUUGUAAAUUACCUUUAAAUAAAAAGUUUUGGCCCAUGGACCGACUCCGCCACGAUCCCGAUUAAGCCUCAAGGGAAAAGGGCUUAUAUGGGCCGGGCUUAUAAGCCCUAGUUUUAAAUAGGCUUGAAAAAUUAUAUUCCAACCCUACCCCAAUAACGGGUUGGAUUGGACCGGCCCCAUGGGCUAAACCCAUUUUGACGGCUCUAUUCCUGCGUAAAAGUGUGCAUAAUUACAAGUAAAAAUAAAUUCAAAUUCGUUAAUGCUAAAGUAAAUUAGUUUUCUUAAUUUCUUGUUAAGUAGCACCGUAUCAAUUUAUCAAAAUGAAAAAUAACACACCAAACAAAUGAAUUUAGAAAGAAGACAAUAACACCAAGUCAACAACUAUAAAAAUCCAAAAGAAAAUAGGAUCUGCAUUUAAAAUUUAAAGUCAUUAUUAUAUAGUUAAGGAUACAAACAUAAUUUUAAUAUAAUCUUAUUGAAUUAUGGAUUUAUCAUUAACAAAAAUUUUAAACUGAAAAUUGAAUUAGUAACCUAACCAAAAAAAUACAAAACCAUUUCAAAACUAUUUAACUCAAUAUCGAUAAAUUAAUAAUAUUACAGUUUUAACGGAUUAUUGCGUUAUGCAUUAUUAAAAACUAAAGCCGAAAUAACUGGACAAUUUAUUAUUAUUUUUAUAAAACUAUUUAAAAUUCGUUAAAUAAUAACAAUGAUUCAAUAACAUUUCUUUUUAUUCAAUUUGUUGAUCGGCUUAGGUCCCCCACCACCAACAUGAAUGUGAUUUCAUGUUUUGUCCAUUCUUUCUGUCCGCAUUUACUUUUUUCGCAUUUAUUACUCCCUCAUAUAAAAAAGUGACUUUUAGUGAUAAUUAAUUUUUCUUUUAGCGGUAAUAUUUAUUGCUAUAAAUACAUUUAUCAGUAUUUGAUUAAAUGUCAUUGGACUCAAUGUCGUUAAAGUCUUUAGGGUUUAGAGUUUAGGAUUUAGGGUAAAGACCCUUAUUAUUGCCACUAAAAGUAAUUACUUUUAGUGACAUUUAUUUAGCGGCCUAUACUAUUGCCAUUAAAGCUACCUUAGAUAUAUAGAGAAUUUCACAUCGUUUUUUCAAGCUAAAUAUAGAAGAAAACAAAAUCUGCUAUAUAUAUAUAGAGAGAUUUUUUUAGCUAUGUUUUCCUCAAAGCUAUACGAAGCUAAUUAAAUCAAACUCAAGUUUAUCUUGCUGGGUGCUUACCAAUGAGAAUGAGAGAUUGAGAGAUCGAGAAAGAGAGAUCGAGCGGAAAGAAAGAAAAAGAGAAAUUACCUCUUGUUGCGUGCUUCAGAUCGAGCAUGAAGAAACACAAAUCGAUUUGUGCUUCAAAUCAAAUCCAUCAUAGCCAUGGAAGGAAGCUUCAAAUCAAUCCAGAGCUUCAGAUGAAAACACGGCGUGUUUUUACUUUUAAUAGAUCAAAAGAAAAACAUAAAAAAAAAUCAUAUUUUAUCCUUAAUAUUAAUUAAUUGCUUAUUCCUUAAAUUAUUUCUUAAGAUUAUAUAUAUAUAUAUUCAAAAAAUAAAUAUUACUAAAGAGAAACAACACGAAUAAACUCGAUCUAUUUUGUUUUUCAAUGUUGCGUGAUAUUUCUAAGAUGACAAGUAACAAUUAUCAGUUGUGUGACCAUUAUUGUACUGUGGAUGGAACUGUUCAUUUCUCAAUUAAUUAAAAGUUUUUAGUUUUGAGUAUGUAAAAAUCUCCGAAUAGAGGUUAUGCCGUGCGGAUCCAAAUUAGUCAGCUCGGAUGAAAAAAAAUAAUAAUAAAUCAGUUGCGGCUUUCACGUUUGUACUAGGCCAAUAGCAUGAAUUUUCUACAUAAAUAGUGAUGAAACGCUGCACAGCAAAAACACUCAUCCCAACAAUGGCUUCUUCUAUUCUACCUUUGUGCACUACCAAUAUUCCCUCUUGUUUCUUAGCAAAACCCUCUCAGCUUUUCCUCCACGGAAGGCGUAGUCAAAGUUUCAACGUCUCAUGCAACGCUAAUAACAACUCUAGCGAGCAUGACAAAAAUAACCUUGAUGACGAUGUUGUUGAUAGGAGAAAUGUUCUUUUAGGGUUAGGAGGUCUUUAUGGUGAUGCUAAUCUUGCACCAUUAUCCACUGCUGCUCCCUCACCACCACCUGAUUGUAAAACUUGUAGUACAGCCACUAUAACUAAUGGUCCAGUUCCUUAUAGUUGUUGCCACCCUCCUAUCCCCGUAGAUAUGAGCACCCUUCCAUAUUACAAAUUCCCUCCUAUGAACAAGCUCCGUAUCCGUUCUCAUCUUCCUGAUGAGGAGUAUAUUGCCAAGUACAAUUUGGCAAUUACUCGAAUGAAAGAUCUUGAUAAGACAACCUUUAAACCCUCUUGGGUUUAAGCAACAAGCUAAUAUACAUUGUGCUUAUUGUAACGGUGCUUAUAAAAUUGGUGGCAAAAAGUUACAAGUUCAUAAUUCAUGGCUUCGUCAAGGACUCAAGUUUAUUAUCUUUCUCCACUUGAGUCCUUAACUGAGGUACAACGUAAUUAUUAACAUAAAUAUAAGGAAAAAAGAACGAGUGCUAAGAAUGAUUGCUAACAAGUUUAUGUUAAAGGAAAUGAGCACCCACAACCUUUAAAUCCUGGAUCCGCCACUGAGUUUUAACUCCGAAUGUUGUACUUGUUUUGACUUUUUCUAUUCUUAAUUAGUUUAGGCUGACUAACUUUUUCUUUCUUUUUUAUUUUUAACUUUUCCUAUGCUAAAGUAUUGGUCAAGUCAGAUAUGCAUCAAACUUGACCACUUGUUUAUUUGCUUAUCAAGUUGUUUACACUAUGUGAUUGCUAACAGGUUUAUGUUAAAGGUUUACACUAUGUGAUUGCUUAACAGGUUUAUGUUAAAGGAAAUGAGCACCCACAACCUUUAAAUCCUGAAUCCGCCACUGAGCUUUUACUCCGAAUGUUGUACUUGUGAAGCCAUGAAUUAUGAACUUGUAACUUUUUGCCACCAAUUUUAUAAGCACUGUUACAAUAAGCACAAUGUAUAUUAGCUUGUUGCUUAAACCCAAGAGGGUUUAAAGGUUGUCAUAUCAAGAUCUUUCAUUCGAGUAAUUGCCAAAUUGUACUUGGCAAUAUACUCCUCAUCAGGAAGAUGAGAACGGAUACGGAGCUUGUUCAUAGGAGGGAAUUUGUAAUAUGGAAGGGUGCUCAUAUCUACGGGGAUAGGAGGGUGGCAACAACUAUAAGGAACUGGACCAUUAGUUAUAGUGGUUGUACUACAAGUUUUACAAUCAGGUGGUGGUGAGGGAGCAGCAGUGGAUAAUGGUGUAAGAUUAGCAGCACCAUAAAGACCUCCUAACCCUAAAAGAACAUUUCUCCUAUCAACAACAUCGUCAUCAAGGAUAUUUUUGUCAUGCUCGCUAGAGUUGUUAUUAGCGUUGCAUGAGACGUUGAAACUUUGACUACGCCUUCCGUGGAGGAAAAGCUGAGAGGGUUUUGCUAAGAAACAAGAGGGAAUAUUGGUAGUGCACAAAGGUAGAAUAGAAGAAGCCAUUGUUGGGAUGAGUGUUUUUGCUGUGCAGCAUUUCAACAAUAUUUAUGUAGAAAAUGCAUGGUACUGGCCUAGUACAAACGUGAAAGACGCAACUGAUUUUUUAUUAUUUUUUUUUAUCCGAGCUGACUAAUUUGGCAUAACCUCUAUUCGGAGAUUUUUUCAUACUCAAAACUAAAAACUUUUAAUUAAUUGAGAAAUGAACAGUCCCAUCCACAAUACCAUAAUGGUCACGCAACUGAUAAUUGUUACUUGUCAUCUUAGAAAUAUCACGCAACAUUGAAAAACAAAAUAGAUCGAGUAUAUUCGUGUUGUUUCUCUUUAGUAAUAUUUAUUUUUUGAAUAUAUAUAUAUAUAAUCUUAAGAAAUAAUUUAAGGAAUAAGCAAUUAAUAUUAAGGAUAAAAUAUGAUUCUUUUUUUUAUGUUUUUCUUUUGAUCUAUUAAAAGUAAAAACACGCCGUGUUUUCAUCUGAAGCUCUGGAUUGAUUUGAAGCUUCCUUCCAUGGCUAUGAUGGAUUUGAUUUGAAGCACAAAUCGAUUUGUGUUUCUUCAUGCUCGAUCUGAAGCACACAACAAGAGGUAAUUUCUCUUUUUCUUUCUUUCCACUCGGUCUCUCUUUCUCGAUCUCUCAAUCUCUCAUUCUCAUUGGUAAGCACCCAGCAAGAUAAACUUGAGUUUGAUUUAAUUAGCUUCAUAUAGCUUUGAGGAUAAUAUAGCUAAAAAAAAUCUCUCUAUUUAUAGCAGAUUUUGUUUUCUUCUAUAUUUAGCUUGAAAAACGAUGUGAAUUCUCUAUAUAUCUAAGGUAGCUUUAAUGGCAAUAGUAUAGGCCGCUAAAUAAAUGUCACUAAAAGUAAUUAUUUUUAGAGGCAAUAAUAAGGGUCUUUACCGGCAUUCGAUAUAAAUGUUACUAAAGGCUUUAACGAUAUUGAAUCCAGUGACAUUUAAUCAAAUACUGGUAAAUGUAUUUAUAGCAAUAAAUAUUAUUGCUAAAAGAAAAAUUAAUUAUCACUAAAGGUCACUUUUGAUGCGGGGAGUAAUAAAAGCGAAAAAAGUAAAUGCGGACAGAAAGAAUGGACAAAACAUGAAAUCACAUUUAUGUUGGUGGUGGGGGACCUAAGCCAAUCAACAAAUUGAAUAAAAAGAAAUAUUAUUGAAUCAUUGUUAUUAUUUAACGAAUUUUUAAUAGUUUUAUAAAAAUAAUAAUAAAUUGUCCAGUUAUUUCGGCUUUAGUUUUUAAUAAUGGAUAAAGCAAUAAUCCGUUAAAACUGUAAUAUUAUUAAUUUAUCGAUAUUGAGUUAAAUAGUUUUGAAAUGGUUUUGUAUUUUUUUUGUUGGGUUACUAAUUCAAUUUGUUGGGUUUUAAAGGUGUGAACAGGAAAUGAAGGGUUAUGACUCUCCUGAAGAGUUGUAAACUUUAUGAAAGGUUGUGUCCUUUCUAAAGGACUGUGACCGUUUGAAAGGUUAUGCCUUUUCCAAAGUGUUGUGACCUUUCUGAAAGGUUGUCUUCUUUCUGAAAGGUNNNNNNNNNNNNNNNNNNNNNNNNNNNNNNNNNNNNNNNNNNNNNNNNNNNNNNNNNNNNNNNNNNNNNNNNNNNNNNNNNNNNNNNNNNNNNNNNNNNNNNNNNNNNNNNNNNNNNUUCUUUUGCAUACAUUUCUUACAAAACAAAAUCGAUCGAUCGUGUCUGUGUGUGUGAUUCGUUGCUGUCAUUUUGAGUUCGUUGAAAUUAUCGAAGUUUGAGGUACCGCUACUUCUUUAAUGGUUAAUCCGUUUUAUCUUGGGAGGAAUUAAUCUGCAACCUCGGGUGUUUGAGGGGAUUAAAUUUCUUAAGGACACACAGUGGGUUCUGUGGACUCGGAUAGUUCUUUGUGUUUUUCCUUUCAUCUUUUAUUAUUUCUGGUUUGCUAAUCUGAAUAAAGGAGAUAACACAAUUUUCAGUUUUAAAAUUUUAGUUAAUGAUAAAUCCAUAAUUCAAUAAGAUUAUAUUAAAAUUAUGUUUGUAUCCUUAACUAUAUAAUAAUGACUUUAAAUUUUAAAUGCAGAUCCUAUUUUCUUUUGCAUUUUAUAGUUGUUGACUUGGUGUUAUUGUCUUCUUUCUAAAUUCAUUUGUUUGGUGUGUUAUUUUUCAUUUUGAUAAAUUGAUACGGUGCUACUUAACAAGAAAUUAAGAAAACUAAUUCACUUUAGCGUUAACGAAUUUGAAUUUAUUUUUACUUGUAAUUAUGCACACUUUUAUGGAGGAAUAGAGCCGUCAAAAUGGGCUUAGCCUAUGGGGCCGGCCCAAUCCUACCAGUUAUUGGGGUAGGGUUGGGUAGGUAAUGUGAUAAAAUACUUACAUCAAUAAUUAUUUGUUUAAUGGAAUUGUCAUAUCAAACAGUGACCAGGGGCGGAGCUAGGUGGAGUUCAUGGGUUCGGACGAACCCACUAGCUUUUUCGUAGACCUAUAUUUGUAUUAGAAAAUUAAAUAAACAUAUGUAUAUUAACUUGUGAACCCCCAAACAAAUUGAUUUAGAACCCCAAACUCCUAACAUUGGCUCUGUCUCUGACAGUGAAGUAAAAAUGAAGAAAGGAAACAUUUAGGUAUUCACAUUCUUUUCAAACAAGUUUCUCUAAAUGACAAAAAUCACGAGCAUUACCUUUAUGUUGUCCUUGCGUUGAUGGCAAGUCCCACACACAAGGGACCAGAUCAAAGAAGUAAACACAUACUUUCUUUCCAGAAAAAAGUUUUGAAAAUAUUUCUAAAUUUAGCAUGAAUUAUUAGUUUCAUCUUUAAAUUAUAGUUAGGCUUAAAAAUGUUUCUUUACUUGACUAACUGAAUUUAAGUACAUCAUCGAUCUUGCAGUAUGAGUGAAAUACACCUCUAAAUUCUCACCAAGUUUAGGGAUGUUGUCAAUGCUUCUCUCGAUUUUUUAUUAAGAGUCUUAUGCUCUUACAUGAGUUUAGGACUAUUUGCUAUGUCAUGUUGCCAAUCGAGAGUGUAUAUAAGUUUAAUUAGUCAAACAAAAGAAUAUUUUUAAGACUAUCAAUAAUUUCAUGAAUAAAACUAAUGAUUUACGCCAAGCUCAAGAUGUUUUCGAUAGUUCAAUACUUUUGUCCUUGAGUUGAUUGCGAAGAAGGUAGUCUAGGACUACCCUAAGCCUAGAAGAGAAGUAGGCAGGACUUUCAGUUACAAUAAUGUCUAGGUUGGGCAAGCCUCAAAGGCGGCCCCUUUCUUUCCUCGGACCGAUGACUCGCUUGUUCAGUACUGCUAACUAUUAUAGGAGGUCCCACACACAAGGAACCAGAUCAAAGAAGUACACACAUAGUUUCUCACGACCAUAAAAUUGAAUAAAACGAGUAUUGAACUAUGAGUCCUUAAAUAAAGGUUUUAUCAACUCCAAGGUAAUGUAUUGCAAAUACAUGGCUGACCUUUUAUCAAGUAGAAUUAAUUUUUAAUUUUAGAUUACUAUAUGAGGUUAAAUAAAGGUUUUAUUAUGUCAUCUAAAAAUACUAUAUUCAAAGCAAUAAGUACAUAAAAAAAAUAUAACUCUAAUUUAUUUAUUUUUUAGUGGAUGUGUAUAUAGUUAAGACUUCGUAUUAAAAUUUUAUUUAUGCCACUAAUUUUAUUGAGACGCUCAAUUAUUUGAAUUUCCAAAUAGUAGUCUUGACAAUAUGCAUAAAAAUAUGAUAUUCUUGAUAAUUACUUUAAGUACCUGAGUAUUUCUAACUUUAUAUCAAGAGGAGUUUAGAAACGAUGCAUGCGUAAUUAUCUGUCCGAAUACAUAUGUAACUUUUUAAACCUGUAUGUAUUAGUAGUAAUUAUAUUGUCAUCCCUACAACCUUUAACCAUAAUUUAGCUAAUUGCAUGAACUGUGAUUUUUUUUUCCUUUUAUAGAAACCAUCCGCCAAGAUUUGAUCACCUUUUCGGGGGUGAAGGUUUGGUCUGGAACCCUACCUUAUGUAUUUUUUAAACAAAAGAAUAAAAGAAGGGAUCAAACAUUACCUCUCGUUACAAGGGAAUAUGAAGGAAGGGGGAAAAAACUUCAAUUUAAAGAUAGCUAAGAUAGACAAAAGACUCUAUCAUUUAUGUAAAAUGGAGAGAUAUUCAGAGUUUGAUUACACAAUUUAUUCUCAAUUUUAAAACUAAGCAGCAUCUCCCUAAAUCAAAACAAAAUGAAUGAUCAGAGAAGAUUAAAAGUCCAACAUUUUUGUUGCCAAUAAAUUAAAUAAAAUUACUUCUAAAAGUCAUAUUUUUAAUAAAUAUUAAUUUGUGAUAGUUAUUACAUAUAAUGACCACAGUAAAUAUUUUAAUUUCCUUUUUAGCAUUCAUUUUUGUUGUCAGUAAAUGUAAAUAAUUGUCUCUAGAAGGCCACUAGAUUUAACAAGUAUGGUUUAGACACUAAUGACAAUGGCUACUAAAUUCUUUUAGAAAAAUGAUCUAAGUUGCUAAUAAAUUUAAUCAAAAUGUUAGUAAAAGGGAGCCUUUUAGUGGCAGCAAAAUUUAGAAAAUGCUAAAAAAAUAAAUAUAAAUCACUAUUAAUUCAUAAAAACAUAAUAUGUCCCUUUAGCUCUAACAAACAAAAGAAAAUACUAAUCCAAAAUGUUACUGUAACAAGGUUAACAACGGUGAAAAUAAAUCUUUGACAUUUAAAAAUGCAUAUUUUCAUAAGAUGAAAAAUAUGUAUUAAUGGAACAUUUACUCAUAGUUAUCACAUUAUUUAGUGAAAUCAUACUUACGAACGUAUGUUAGUUAAAAAGGAGGAAAGUAAUAAAAAGGGCAAUAAAAAUGUAGUUCAUAUAGAAUACAUAUGCAUCCUAUUAAUACAUGAAUCAUAGUAAUUAGUUGUAAUGCAAAAAACAUUUUACAAUAAAAAUCUCUACAUAAGUUCUCAGUUAAUCCUGACAAAAAAAAUACCAAAGUCUUUCGAUGCAUGAAGAAUUAUUAUUUUCAUUUCAAAUAUUGGAAGUGCGUUAUAAUUACCUGAAUAUAUAAAUGUUUUGAAAAUUAAUACUCCAAUUUAAGAAUAUGAAUGGAGUCUCUCGAUGUCUCUAAAUACUCCUGAAUUGAAUUUCUCUAGAUACAAGUGACAGAUAUCAUUUUAUUAAAUGAUUUGAAUUUAAAUUAAAUAAAUCCAUAUUGUUAACUUUUUAAUACUAACAGUAUAUAAAAUAUAAACUCAAAAAAUAAGGGUGCAAAACUACAAAGUUAUAAAUGCACAAUAAUGCCAAUAACUUAAAUCUGAAAUAUGUGAAAUUUAUGAAAAAAAAUAUAGAAAAAGUUACAUGAAUUGUCAAACAUAGAUAUUUUUGCGACAAUUAAUUUAUAAAAAAGAUUACACAGGAUAAAGAGAAUACGUGAGAGAUUCGAACAAACAUUAAUGAUAAUUCAACCCUCGAGAAAUUCAAUGGCCACACUUUGGAUGGAGAUCACAUCUCCACCGUUUUUAGGAACCACAGUUACCGUAAUGGUAUCAUCGUCUUCAAGUCCAAUGUCCUCUAAAAGUUUGGUAAUGUCUAGCUGAAACGUCUCACCAUAAUCCAUUUUCUUAUUAUGUGCAUGAACAUGGGGCAAGUUGGCAUAGCUCCCCGCGAACUCCACCUUAUCAAGCUCAUUUGUAUAAUUGUAUUCACGUUCUCUUCCUCGUUGAGGAACACAUCAAAACUUAUAUAUUUGCUAGUAUCAUACUUUAAACCCUUGAAUAUUAGCACCUCUUCUUUUUCGUCUUUAUCCUUUUGACUCCUUGACGUAGUUGGCCUAUUGAUGGAAAACGAAAUGGGUUUGUUGAGGUUAGCAAUUGGGAAUACCUUGUUUGCUGGCUCAAUGUUUGUUAAAUCCACUUUUCCUUCUCUCCCCUUUCUUGUUGGCCUACAGUUGAUCCAUGGGAGGGCUGCUGGCACGUAAUCAUAACCCAUCUUCUUCGUAUCCAAACAGUCUCCCACUCUCACACGGUAAGGCCUUUGGUGUUCAUCGUAGAAAAAGAAUUCGGAGUUCAACCAAUCUGUGUCUGUGAUAUCCCUUUUUUUCCCGCCUAAUCCUUUCCAUAUAUUCCACAUUGGCGUGGUGGCUAUAGAAAACCGGGUCUAAACUUCACCGAAUGACAGUUUACCACCACCCAAAUCUGUAUUUCUGACAGUACCAGCCCAAAUGUGGACCGAAGUAUGAGGGAUGUUUUCAAUAGUUCCCAGAUCAUUAUUCUCAAGGACGUAACGAGCACCAAAGAAUUGCAAAGGGCAUGCAGCAUUAGUUAUCAUUGAACGGUACAUAAGAGUUAAGUUGUUAGUCACCGUCUUUUUAACAUCAGUAGUAACUUCGUCACUAGGAGAACUAAAAUCGAUUAUGGUUCCAUUUCCACACGUCUUGCAUCAUAAAGGGGAGUAUUUCACGAUCGAACAUGGGAGGUAAACGCAUACGCUUUGGAUGGUCCCAAUUCCAAUAUGGUAAAGCGAAAGUUGGAUCAUCAAUGAGUUAGUUUUCCCAAUAUUCUCUCGUAGAAGUACAAGUACCAUCUAUGAAACGGAAAGAAAAGCCAAUUGAAAUGAACUUGUAAAACAUCAUCACCAAAUUUGUAAGCACCGUUGCAAUAAGCACAAUGGAUAUUGGCUUGUUGCAUGAAUGAACGAGGGUCCUUUUUAUCCAGGUCUAUCAUUCUUUGAGUGGCCAAUUGGUACUUUGCAGUAUAUUCCUCAGUCACGUCUUGAGCAACGGGACGUUGUUUACGAAGCUUAUAUAUGGGAGGAAACUUGUAAUAUGGAAUGUUGUUCCAGUCAUCUGGUGUAGGAGGGCAACAAGUAUAUCCUACUUCUUCUGUACUCUGCGUUUUUAUGGCUUUACCACACGAUUUGAGAUUAGGUGCCGGUAUAGGAGAAGCAGAGGCUAAUGGUGCAAGAUUGGAAGCACCAUAAAGUCCUCCUAAACCAAGAAGCACAUUUCUCCUUGCAUGAGACAUGGAAACUUUGGCUACGCCUUCUCUGCCGAGAAGAUUUUGCAAAGAAAGACGAGUGUGUAGUAAUAAUGAGAGUUUUGCUACUCUGCUCACCAAGACUUAAACAUAGAAUUAAUGGAACAAGAAGAAGCCAUUAUUGAGAUGACUGACAAUUGUUCUCAUUCCUAUCAUCUAUAAAUAUAGACUAAUAGAAAUAAUCAUAAAGUUACAUAAAAACAAAAAACAAAAAUGUGUAACCGCUAAAGAACAAACAUGUGAUAUUUAGAUAGAAUCAAUCUAUCCGUAUUAUAUGUACGGACACGAUAAAGAACACUGAUUUCAAUAAGUUUGAGAUAUUCAAGAUAGAAUCUAUCUAUAUUGUGUACGAAUGAUAAAAAAACAGUCAUCCAUCCAGUAAGCUAGCUUGAUAUAUUCAAGAUAGAAUCUAUCUAUAUUGUGUGCGCGGAUGAUAAAAAAAACAGUCAUCAGUCCAGUAAGUUUGAGAUAUUCAUGAUAGAAUUUAUCUAUAAUGUUAUAUCAGAUUAUAUUCCAUCCAACUUUAGUGUAAGAUUUGUGCUUAAACUAAGCAACCUAAUUAGAAUAACAUGCUGAAUUAUUAGAGUAAAUCCAUACUAUUUUUUAUGAGACUUGAAACAAACAUGAUUAGAGGUGCCAAAUACAUUUAUAGAUGAUUUCUCUAGAUAUACAAAAGUAGAUUUUUUAAGAAAUAAAUAUAAAGCUAUGAUAUAUUUAUUCUUAAAGUAGGAAAAAUAAGUUUUAUAAGUAAUUUUGUAUGUUUAUUGUAUCCUUCCCACUCACUCCACCUCUUGACCGCCACCACCCCACUGCCUACCCUUUCUACUCGAUAGUGUUUUAUUAAACUACAUAUAAAUACUUUUUAAAUAACAUUUUUUUUGCUUAAUUACUUACCAAACACAGAAAAUAACUAAGAAACCAACUUGUUCUCCAUGAUAAAUAUUCUUCUUCCUACCAAACACACCCAUAAAGCUGUUUGGAGUGUCUAACUCAAAUGGUAAGUUUUUGCUCAUCAAUGAUAUAAUUAAUGGACACGAAGUUUAAAUUUUAAAAAUCUUGAAAAGGAUAACAUGAAAAACGUUAAUUCAAUGGGUCUCCAAUUUUUUUUUAAAAUUAAAUUAUGGGUUUAAGAGAUCAUGUUACUGUCUAUUUAUCUAAUUGUAAAUUUACAAAAAACAAAAAGGAGAGGACAUUGACCUAACUUCCCAUAUUUAUCCACGCUACACCAAAAAUGAUCUUUAGCGGCAAUUAACACUCUUUGUAAAUGUCUCUAAAAUCUAUAGCGACAUUGAAUCUAAUGACAAUUAACUAAUACCGGUAAAAACUUUAACAUUCUUUGUUAAUGUAGAUAUUUAUUGUCGCUGAAAGUUGCUUUUGUUGUAGUGUAAAAAAUAAUGUGAUUUAAAAACAUAAAAUAAAAAUACAAUUUUUGGAGAAGAAUAAAUAUUUAUUAUGGAGGAUAGAAUAUGGAGAAUAAUAAAAAAUCUUUAUUUGGAGAAGCAUAAUUUUUAACUAAGCCAGAUAUUAUCCCGAUUCCCGAGAACAAUAAACUAAGAUUUGUGGGUCUUUUGUUUUGUUAAUAGUGAAUUAGUGAUUAUACCUUGUAAUUAUAGAUUGACUAAGUGCAAUGAUGAAUCAAAUUAAAUGGAUUGAAAAUAUUUUUAACCUUUCUUCGUUUUAAUUAAAAAUAAUAGUUUUCCACGUUUUUGUUGUGGCAAAGAAAAAGACAAGUUCAUAGUUGUCUUUUUCUAAGAAAUCCAUACUAAUUUUUAUGAGACUUGAAAUUCAUAGUGCACUCUUGUGGACACUAUUAAUUAUCAUAGAUUUUUCCACCUUAGGUUUUGUGUUAUUAUUUUUUUUAAAUAAUUUUUUAUUGCAUUGAACAAUUAGAUAACACAUUUUAAGAAAUUCUUUUGCUCUUCCCUAUGAUGAAUCUACCAAAUAUUUUUUGAAUGAUACGAUUUUAACCUAAUCUUUUUAUACCAAAUAUUUUUUGAAUGAUACGAUUUUAACCUAAUCAUUUUAUCUGAACAGGCGAACAUAACAAGUAAUGAAUUAGUACACUCAAUUAGGUGCAGUGUGAUAGUUUGCUCUCAUAAAAACUAUAAAAUUAAAUUGUUCCGCUAGAACAAUAGCAAAUAUAUACUCGUUACUCAGAUGUGAAGCUAGUAAAACGUUGACUUUAGGACCUCAAAUAUUGAAGCCUCAAAAUUCUUUUGAUAAUAAAUUUAUGAUUUUAUUUUCACUUAAAACAAAAUUGAGGAUCAUAAUAAAAAAGGUUCAAAUUAGUUAAGUAUUAAAAGGACAGCAAGAAAAACUAUCUAUGGUUUAUCAAAAAUAUUUUAGAACUUGAAUUAAGUAAUAACUUAAAUUAUCCUAUUAAUAAGUAAAGUUCUUACAAUAAUAUCCAAGGUAAUGAAUUGCAAAUACAUGGCUAAUCUUUUAUUAAGUAGGAUUAAUAUUUAAUUUUAUAUUUCUAUAUGAGGUUAUAUAUAGGCCUUACUAUAUCAUCUAAAAAUAUUACAUUAAAAGCAACAAGUAUAUAUAAAAAAUAAAAAAAUAUAACUCUUAAUUUUUAUUUUUUUGUCUAUUUAUAUAUAUAUACUAAAGACUUCUUAUUAAAAUUUUAUUUUAUGCCACUAAUUUUUGAUAAAACGUCCAUUGAAGAAAUGAUGAAGACCUUCUAGAUCAUUCUUAGAGCUUAACAGAGAGAGUAAAUAACUGCUUGUGUGUAUUGAUUAGAAUGAAUACAGAAUGAAUGUACAUUUAGUGUAUCUACUACUAUUUAUAGAAUGACUAACUAACUGAUUAGUCUAACUAACUACUACAUAAUCUGUUAUAACAAAAUUCCAGUAAUACAAUUACUAUUUCAUCCUUUCUCUACAAUCAUCUCAACAUCCCCUUCAAGCUAGAUGUUGUAAACACAUUCAAGACUCCUAGCUUGGACAGUAGAUGAUAAUGUUGACAGCUUCCAAGUCCUUUUGUCAGCAAGUCUGCUUCCUGCUCAGUUGUUAAGACAUACUCUGGAUGUAUCAAACCUUGUUGCACCUUCUCCCUUAUAAAAUGACAAUCAAUCUCUAUAUGCUUUGUCCUCUAGGAAACACUGGAUUAUUUGCUAUUUGCAUGGCUGACUUACUACCUGUAAACAGCUGAAUUGGUGUAGGAACAUCAACACCUACACAUUUGAAUAAAUCAAUCAGCCAAAUCAACUCAGACACUGUUAAAGCCAUACUUCUGUAUUCUGAUUCUGCUAAACAACUAGCUACAGUGUUUUGCUUCUUGGAUUUCCAUGAUAUCAAGGAUUGACCAAGCUUCACAGUGUAACCAGUUACAGACCUUCUUGAGUUAGGACAACGUGCCCAAUCAGCAUCACAAAAUACUGUCAAAAUACCUUUUCCUUCUGCAUGCAUUAGAACACCAAGUCCUGGCUCAUUUUUGAGAUAUCUGACCACCCUGUGUGCUACUUCUAAAUGAGACUUCUUAGGAUCCUGCAUGAACUGGCUUAAAGUUUGAACACUAUAGGCAAUGUCAGGCCUAGUUAGUGUCAAAUAAAGUAGUUUUCCUAUCAACAUUUGAUACCCUCUCACAUUUGGCAAAUGUGGAUCAUUUUCCAGACCACCACAUUGUUGAUCAUAUUCCAAGCUUGUUAGCUUCUGAUUUUGCUCAAGUGGUGUAAGUGUUGGCUUGCAGCCACCCAAACCCAACUCAGCUAUAAGCUCCAGAGUGUACUUUCUUUGACAUAAUAAAAUACCUUUCUUAGACCUGCAUAUUUCUAUUCCCGAAAAAUACUUCAAUGGUCCAAGAUCCUUGAUCUUGAAGGCUGCAUGUAACACACAUUUUGCCUCUUGUAUAAGGUCCUUGUCAUCUCCAGUAAUCAACAAGUCAUCAACAUAAACAAUGAUAAUCACCUGUCUAGAAUUUCUUUUCAAAACAAACAAGGAAUGAUCCUGUUGACUUUGAAUAAAACCAGCUGACAAUAGUGUAUUUGUGAUCUUCAAAUUCCACUUUCUAGAGGCUUGCUUGAGGCCAUUAAGAGAUUUGAGGAGUCUACAUGCCUGAUCACCCCCUUGACUACCAAAUCUUGGAGGAAACUGCAUAAACACCUCUUCCUUAAGGUCACCUUGCAAAAAGGCAUUAUACACAUCCAUUUGAAACAAGGGUCAUUGGUGCAUAGCAGCCAAAGCAAUGACAGCUCUCACAAUUACCAUUUUGACUACUGGGGAAAAUGUUUCUUAAUAAUCUAAGCCUUCUUGUUGAUUGUACCCUUUAGCAACAAGUCUGGAGUUAAAUCUCUCAAUUGCACCAUUAGAUUGAUACUUGAUAUUGUAUACCCACCUACAACCAAUAGGUUUCUUGCCUUUAGGAAGAGGAACAACCUCCUAAGUGUGAUUUUGAACCAGUGCAUCAAUCUCUGAUUGCAUAGCAGAAAUCCACCUAGGAUCCUUUAAGGCUUCUUCAUAGGAAGUAGGCUCCACUUCAGAUGAAAUAGCAACCAGGAAGGACUGACAUUUGGAAGAAUGACCAGAGUAGUCGAUAAACUUGGACAAAGGAUAUAAACAAGCAACAUUCCCCUUAACAUGAUGGACAUAAUCCUGAAGCCAAGUUGGAGGCCUGGUACCUCUAGUGGACUUCCUUAACUGAGGUUGUGAGGAAAGAUAAGGAUCAGAUAUAGAAGGGGUAGGACAAGACUCAACUGGUGGUGAGAUGAGAGACAAAUCAGCGGAUAAAAGAGAUGUGAUAGAAUCAGUAGGUGCAGGAUUUGAAGGCAUAUUAUCAGGACUAGAUAGAUCAAAGAACAUAGGAGUAUUGUGUUUUCUGGUUUUCAGUAACAAGAAAGGGAAAACAUGUUCCUUGAACACAACAUCUCUACUGACAAAGAACCUCCUAGAGUUGAAAUCAUGCAGUUUGUAGGCCUUUUGUGUGGAGGAGUACCCUAUGUGGACUGCAGGAAUUGCUCUAGGGGAGAACUUGUCUACUUCGGAUGGGACAGUGGCAAAACACAAACAUCCAAGAACCCUGAGAUGAGAAAGACAUGGAGUAUGACCAUGGAAAACCUCAUAGGGAGACUUCCCAUUUAGAACCACUGAUGGUAACCUAUUAAUGAGAUAUAUUGCUGCCAGUACACAGUUACCCCAAAAAGAAAUAGGAGAGUACCUUAAAACCUGACUGCCCUUGCCACCUCUAGAAUGUGUCGAUGUCUCCUUUCCACCACUCCAUUUUGUUAUGGAGUGUGUUGGACAACUACUCUGGUGUCCAAUACCAUGCUUGACCAAGAAUUCUGAGAACUCCUUAGUAAAAAACUCAGCACCAUUAUCAGUCCUGAUCAUUUUCACCUGCUUGGUAAACUGAACAUGAACCAUUUUGACAAAGGAUUGUAGUAACACAAAUGAAUCACUUUUGAGUUUCAUUAAAAAGACCCAAAUCAUCUUGGAAUGAUAAUCCACAAUAGUGAGAAAGUACCUAUGACCAGUAAUAAUAGGGACUCUAUAAGGACCCCAUACAUCAAUGUGUAAUAAAUGGAAAACAUCAGUUGCUAUGGAAAUACUAAGAGGAAAUGGUUUUCUGGUUUGUCUAGGUAAGGGACAAACAGUACAAUCAUUAAAACUACAAAGUGGCACUUUAUUUCUGUAGGAAAUGUAGCUUCUUUAUGACAACAGCAGGUACAUGACCCAGCCUCUUAUGCCAAACUUGCACAUCUUUAGACAAUUUUUUUGUAACAUUGCUGCUAGCAUUUACCCUUUUAUCAACAACCUUCUCAGAAGUCCUAGGAAGUAGGAAAUAGAGACCUCCUUUCUCUUUACCAAUCCUGUAACAUCUCACAAUUUGAAAUAACUAGGAAGAAGCUUAUAAUUGGAAAUAGUCAUUUUUUAAAAGAAUUAAAAUCUGGAUAUUUGUUUUAAGUUAGGAAAAGUUGAGUUUUGGUCAACUUCAAAAGGCAAUAAUUCCUAGCUCAGGAUGAGUUAGGUGUACUUCCAGAUAUGGUUGCAAAGCUCUUGGAAGUAUCUUUCCAACGCCGCCGAGUUUGCACAAAUCCGAGUUCGUAUGAGUGAGUUAUACCCUUUGGAAGUUGGGCUAUUGGAAUAAGGAAAGUCCAAUCCGGAUUUUUAUAGAGUAGUUUGGUCUUUUCCUUAACCUUUUAUUUAAUUCGUUUUUUGGGUAAUUAAUGUGGGAUCUAAGCUGAAUUAGAUCAGUUUACACUUUUACCAAAAGAGUUAGGGUUUGGAGAGAAAACAAAAGAAGAGGAGAAAGGAGAAGAGGAAGCAAGAACGUUCAGGAUUCGUCGAUUUCUUGGAGCUUUGCUCGUGGAUUUCGUCAGGGGGAUCCCUACAAGGUAUGUGAGAUCACAUAGCGUUGGGUUAGUUCACCCACGCGCCAAGCAUGUUUAAAUUCAGCGUAUUUUCGUCCUAAAAAGAUUGAGAAUUUGAUGUUCUUGAUAGUUGUUCUUGAAUUGAUUUCGUUCUUGAACAUGAGUUGGGAUUAAGGAGUUUCUUGAUGAUUAAGUGUUGUUUCUUUAAGUUGUUGGGUUAGAUUUUGUGUAUAUGAUAUGGGUACAUGAAUCUAAAGUGAAUUUCAAAAAAAGAAUCGAAUUCAAAUGAUUUAGGAUCAGAAAACAAGAUCAAUAGGUCGUUAGAAUUUUGCCUGAAGGGAGGCUGGCGCGACGCGCCCCCAUAGCGCCAGGCAGGCUGGGGCGGCGCGCCAACAGUGCGCCAGAUUUGAGCCCCAGUAAGUUGGGGCUGGCGCGGCGCUCCCAAGAUGCGCCCAAAUCAUUGUUUUCACCAGUUUUCGUCGUUUAGCCUAUUUAAGUCCUUCUAAAGUGUAUUAACACUUCCUAUUGAUUCUAACUACUCUAAAUGACUUCUAAACAUCUAGAAAUCAUCCAAAAACAUGAAUCAUAGCUUUGAAUCCAUAAAUUCAAAUUCAAGAAAAGUUAAGAGCCAAGUUUAGGAAGUUCUUCGAGUCUUUUCAAGAAGUCUUUUGCAAAUGCUUUUUAAGACUUACAGUUCAAGUUGAGUAAAGAUAUAAGUUCAUUUCUUCAAAAGUAUAUGGGGACUAAGUAUUCCCAAAGAGAUUUAAAAUAUUUUUACAUUUAAAUAAGAACGGAAACUGAGAUUUUCAAAGAGUCUUUGGCCUAGUUUUCAGAAAAGAGAAAUAGCUUUCUAAAUGAAGCAAGCAGGGAAACUAAGAUUUCUGAGAUAGCUUUUGAGCUAAGUUUUUGAGCACUAAUCUCAAAUCAUAGAAGAAGUAUGUUUUUAAACAUAAAGAACUAAGUAUUUUUGGGAGUAGUAUUGAGCACCGAUAUGGGAUGCGAGUUUAUAUUAACUCAAGUCUCCAUAAACCAUGUAGACAUCAUGGGUAGAAAAGGGUCAUACUUUUUAGAUGAAUCAUUUUCGCAUAGACUAGUGGAUCCACUUAGUGAGUUAGCUUCCUAUAUCACGGCAAGGUAUAGGAUGGGCCUCGGCAGCGUGAUGUAAACCGUUAUAUCAUCACUAUAGUUCUUAAGUGAUGGUUGUCGGUUAGAGAAACUCCCACAAUAGUAGUAGCAUGGUUCCUCACGGGGUUCUACUUAGCAUGAAUGGGGGUAUGGGACUUCAUUCAUGCAUUGCACAAGUAGACUUUGGAGAGGGAGCAUGGUUUGUCUUUUUUAUGAUAUUAUGAUUAUGAAUUGACAACAUGUUUUUCAACAGUUUUUAUUUAUAUUGCACUUGUUUUAAACUUCUUUAUAAUGAAAUGAGUUUAUUUAAGUAUUCAAGAGUUGAGAAGAGCCAAGGUAAGUGUUUCUUUCAUAAUCUCUUUCGAGCCUAUGUUGUUUUAGCAUUCCAACUCGAAUACUCGUACAUUCAAUGUACUUAUGCCAAUUGGCCUGUAUCGUCUUAUGAUGCAGACACAGGUAACUAAGAUCGGCAUCCGGCUCAUUCGUUGAUCCAGUGAGCAGUUCAGAGUCUGUUGGUGAGCCUCUUUGCAUUCCAGAGGACUCCUUCACAUUGUUUUCAGUUUUAGUAUUAGUUCAUUAGGAUGUCGCGGGCCUAUUCCGACAUCCACCUUAGUUGUUUAGAGGCUUCAUAGAUAGUCAGACAGUCAGUUAGUAAAUUCAGCUGUCUUUAAUUUUUAUUUCAUAUGUUAAGACUUGAGUUGCCAUUUUGGCCAAGUUGAAUGUUGACUAUUAAACAUUCUAAGUUAUUUCAUUAGUUAGAUUGAGUAGUAUGCUAUUGAUCUUUAUAAAUAUGCAUAUAGUCUUUCGCUGAGUUAGUAAUCCAGGCCAAGUGUUCGCUUGAGGCCAGCAAUGGUCUUCAAGUGCCGGCCAUGUCCAGGGUGUAGGCUCGGGGCGUGACGAAUCCCCCUCACUUUCCCAGUACAUAGGUCCUGGAAAACACAAAAAUAUGGAAAAAAGAGCACUGAGCAUUGCAAUUCUUUUGUCAUCUUUGAGACUGACAUCAGAUUGUAUUUGAAGUCAGGCACUUACAACACAUUUUCAAUGGUACAAUCAUUUGAAAUAUGACAUAUGCCUUGAUACUGAACUGACACAUUCUUACCAUUUGGCAUAAGUACACUACUUUUUAUGAGAUCAUGCAUAUUACUCAAGUUAUUCAGCAAAUCCAGAUUAUUAGUCAUGUGAUCUGUUGCUCAACUGUCUACUAUCCAGGGCUUACAAGCCUGUAUAGAAGAUGAGUUAUAGAAAGCAUUACCUGCCAUGCUCCCAGCCAGCUCUACUCCCUUGUUGUCAAGCAUAUUCAUUAUCUGAUUAUAUUGGUCAUCUGUGAAGUAGUUUUGUCCUUUGCUGCCAUCAUGCUCAACUCUUGAAUGACAUUGAGACCUUUGAACAGUACCACCACAAUUGUUUUCGGCAUGCUGUGUGAAGUUGGCUCUCUGAAGGGUAUGGUUGUUGCUUGCAGGCAUUAUGAGAACCAUUAGAAGAUCCUCCAGCAUUCCCUUUGUGCUGAAUAUUAUCUUAUUUGUCACUAACAUAAUCAUAUGCAGACAUAUUUGCUUGUCUUGAUGGUCCCCAAUUGUUCUCUCCCAUGACAUUGUGGUUAAGUUUGAUUAGUGGUUUUUUCUUUCCCCUGUAGCCUGGUGGAUAGCCUAUUACCCGAUAGCAAUUACCUUCACGAUGGCCUUUCCUUUGACAGAUAUCACAAAAAAAUUGUUAUUAGAACUACUAUUACCCCCAUAAUUGUUGCCAUAGUUAUUAUUAUUGUUGAAUUUUCUUCCUUAUGAUUGAGUAUUAUGAAUACUCAUUAGGGCUGUACUUUCAUUCGACUCAAUUCCUACACAUGAACUGGAUUCACAGAUCUUCCUUUGACUCUCCUCAUGCACAAGCAUAACAUGUGCUUGGCUAACAGAGGGAGAUGGCAUCAUAAGUAAGAUUUGACUCCUAAUAGCACUGUAGGACUCAUUUAAUCUCAUCAUGAAGUGAAACAAUUUCUGUUGUUCUAGAUGCAGCUUAAAAUCCUUCGAUGCAAGACAUCCACAUAUAGCAGGCACUAAUGAACAAUACUCAUCCCAUAACAGGCGCAAUCGUGAAUGAUAAGUAGAGAUAUCAGAAGUACCUUGAGAAAUUGUGGCUAUUUCUCUGUGAAGAUUGUGGAUCCUUGAUCCAUUCACCUUAUCAAAUCGCUCAUGUAGAUCCAUCCACACAGCAUGAGCAUCGCCUGCAUACAUAAUCCCAUUUACUAGCUCUUUCGAAACUGUAUUCAUAAUCCAAGUUAGGAUUGUUGCAUUCACUCGUUCCCAUUCUUCUGCUAGUACUACAACAAAUAUGAUAUAUAGCUAUGAAAUUAUUAGCUACGACAUAAAAUUCGUCAUUAAUUGUUCACUUUUAGUGACAAAAAUUACUUUUCGUGCUUAAAUAUACAAGGCAUAUACUUUUGGUGACGAAACAUAAUAGUUCGUAGCAAAGUUUUGUCCACUAAAGUUUCCCACCAAAAAAUGUAUUGGCGCCAUUUAUUGAGUACUGUCAGUCACGAAUUUAAAGUUACCAGUGACACAUUAUUUCGUCACUAAUGAUGUUUUUAAUUUGUGACAACUUAUUUUUGUCUUAAAAUUAAUUAAUUUUUUGACGCAAAAUAAUUUCGUCUCAAAAAAUAUGUUGAUACAAUAGCGACAAAUUAGAAUUUAUAGUUAAAUAUUCUAAGUUUUAGCUAUAAAAAUUUAGAUUUUAUUGUAACAUUUAUUUUCGUCACUAAUAAUAUAAUUAAUUGGUGACAAUUAUUUUAUUGUCUCUAAUCAACCUACGAUUUAGUGACAACAAAAAAUUGUCACAAAAUAUGUAUGAUAUUAAAUAGCGAUGACUUAGAAUUUGUAGUUGAAUAAUUCAACUAUUUGCUACAAAAAUAUUCAUUUUGGGUACGAUUGUUUAUAAUUAGAGAAUUUCAUAAAUGGUCCAUCAACUAUUAAAGUAGGUCUAAAAUAGUCCUAUAACUAUACAUUUAUCAUAUUUAGUCCUUUAACUAUUCAAAAUAUUAUCAUGUUUGGUCUCUUAAUUAUAUACUUACCAUUUUUAGUCUCUUGACUAUGCAUUUACUAGUUUUAGUCUUUAAGUAUUCAAAAAUUUAUCACGUUUGGUCUCUUUGAUUAUUUUUAUAAAAAUAGUACUCAUGUCUAUGUGAAAUUAUAUCUUUAACCCAUUUUUUAGUUAUUUCUCUUUCCCACUACUUUUUCUUCAAAUUACUCUGAAAAAAAGAACCUUACCUCAAUGAUUCAAAACAAAAUUCACGGUAAAAGAAGAUACAAGUCCUGAUUUUUAUUCAAUGGAGGAUGAAAUCAAAUAUAUUAUUGCUACCAAUGACUUGAGAAUGCUAAAAUUUAUUAUAAAAGAAAAAUGUUAUUACUGGUUAGUUGUAGAAAGAAAUUUAUUUAUAUUUAAUACAAAUGAAUUUCCUGCAAUUAGAAUAAAAUUAAAAAAAAUUUACUCGUAUAUUUUGAUUCCAAAUUUUGUACUCCAAUGACUUUAUUAACGGGAAUUUAUUUAAUAUCUUAGAAGCUGAAAUUUAUAAAAUGGUAGAUUUUCCACCAUUUUUAAGAUUUUUUUUAUUUUGAAAUAUAUCAAUUUUAUUAUUAUGUUCAUUUGAUUUUUCGUAGAGAAAUUGAAUAAUAAUAUCAAAUCUUUUAUUUAUUUUAUAUGAAAAAAUGGAAAAAAAUAUUCACGCUAAUUAUGAACCGUUAACCACUAAAGAAGAGAACAUUUAUUUUUUUGUUGGUAACUGUACAGACUAACUCGAUCUAUUUGCUUCUGUCUAAAAAUACAUACAUAAUUAGUAGUGGAUCUUUUUACGUAGAGCAACUCUAUUGAGAGUCUAUCGACUUACAAACUUAGACUGCAAAGAUGCAAAAUAUUUCAUGGGUUCUAUUACCUUUUUCAUCCGUGUGGAAAAUUGAAAAUAAACUAAAAAAAAAUGAAAGCACAAAUGAAAGAAAUUAACCAACUAUGAUUUUGAAUAUAUUAAGAUAAAGUACUAUCAUUGUGGGUAUCAAUAUUUUUUUAAAAUUUGAUUUACCGAUCGAAGCGAACCGAGUAUUAGUAUUUCUUUUAAUAAAGUCGAAUGUUUUAUUUUAUAUAACUUUAUAAUUAUACUGAAUAAUGUUUUAAUUUAAAAUAGUGUAUACACUUGUUUAUACGUGUAUAAUAGUGUAUAAAAGGUGCUUAUAUACAUUUUUAUAUUGUUAUACAUAAUUAAACUACACAUACACAAAUCAAUUGUAGAUAAUUUUUAAAUAAUGUACCUGCACUUUAUAAGUGUGUAUAAACAUUGAUUAUAUACAAUUAUAAUAUAGGACACCUUUCAAUCAUCACGAGUGUUCACACCCAAUUUUGAUAAUAUGCAAUUCGUAUUAAUUAUCGAGCUUCUUCAAUUUGAAAUCAUUAUUUUUGAAAUUUUCAAAAAUAUUUUAAAUAUAUUCUCUAAAUAGUUCUGUUAGUUUUCAUAAAUAAUUAUAUAACUAUAUAUAUAUAUAAAACUUUAAAUUAGUUAACUUCAUAUUUAUGUAUAAUUAUUAAUUAACUUAUGUCUUAAGAAAUAUUUUGUCUUAUUUUAAAUUAAGAACCUCAAAUAAUUAAUCAAUCGAAUUUAGCUAAUUGAUUCGAUUUGGCAAUAUUCAAAUUCAAUUGACUAAAUUCCUAAUACAAUAGGCCACUCAAUUCAGCUAAGAUUACAAUCGUUUGGCCAUAUUUUGAAUUCUUUAUUCUAAGACCCUCAUAUCCUCAUACAUCUAGAGUCAAUUAGGUCAUUUUAUAGAUUAUUAUAUUUGAUUUAAUAUAUUGUGUAGACACGUAAUUUUUUAUCAAACUUAAGUUUAACAUUAUUUUUAGUGCUUAAAUAUUUUUUUAAAAUUUAAAUUAAUUAUUUUAAUUUUUAUUUUAUUUUAUUAAGUUUAUUUUAAAUGAUUUGAAAAGCACAAAAAAUUGAAUCGUAAUUUUAGGUAAGUUUUAUUUUUUCAAUUGUUUUAAAAAGAAAUAAAAAAUAUAAUUUUGUUUAUAUGUUUUCUUUAAUUUAGGUUUAAUAAAUAAGCUAGUAAUUUUAAUAUAUUCUUUAAUUACAUAUUUAGAUUAACUACUUAUCUUUUCUUAUAUUUUCAUUAGUUCAAAAUAAUUAGCUAAUAUUUUUAUAAUUUUUAUAUAAAUUUAAUAAAUAAAUAAUAACCAACUGAAACUACCUCUUACCCCACUACUACACCUACACCAUCCUAUUUUCCUCCCACUAUCCUAAUUGUUUACCCACUAUCUACCCACACACACAAUCAUUACCUGUAUUAACACAACAAUAAAUCAAAACUAAAAGAAUCAGCAACACCCAAACCCAACAAACGACAAUAAGGAAAAAAAGGGGAAAAAAAACUCCUAUACGACCAUCACACAAAAACACACAAACAAAAAAAAAGGACGAUCAACAAAAAAAAAAAAACAUAUACACGCAAAGCAACAGCAACACAUGGAAACAAAAAUACAAUACACACUAACACCAAAAACAAUAUUUAUGAGAGUUUUAAUCGAGUUUCGAUCAAGAUUUUGCGGUUCUUAUUUCUUCAUUUGUGGUACUUAACUUUACCUUAUCUCUUAAUUUAUUUAUGGAAAUUUAUGUAAUUAUGUGAUAAGUUUUUCUAUUUUAUUUAAAAUUUGAUUGAAAUGAAGAUUGGGUUAAAGUGUUAUAUCACCAUUUAAUGAAUGAAGUCCUAUAUAAUGUAAGAAUUUUAUUUUUUAUUCUUGUUGUUGUUGUUGUUGUUGUUGUUGUUGUUAUUGUUGUUUAAUUUUGUCAUGCCCAAGCCACUAUUUUUAUGACAUUGUUGUAGCUUAAUGUUCAUGUCAAUUGUCUAUUUUAAUUUACAUAUUUUUAAAUAAAUGUGAUUACCUAAUAAACAAACAAAUGGGUUAUGUUGUUAAACUUGAAUUUACUUCAUUUUGGAUUAGUUGAAUCCUUUGAUAUGAGGAUUAAUUUAUUUAAAAAUAGUAUCAAUUAAUAUAAUAAUGGGAUGAAAGAAUAGUUCUCUAAAAUUCACCAAAAUAAUAGUAAGUACUUUCAAUACUAGGUGAGUUUUAGGCACGUUAGAAAUAUGUGUUUCAAUUAAGAGACUUUUAUUCAUUGCCUAAGCAAUAUCAGUUGUUGGCUUUUGUAUUCACCUGCCACAUUCAUGAGUUAUUUUAGGGCUUUUGUAUUUAGCAAAUCAGAAUUACAUUGUUGAUAACAUGCACCUAAUUAACUGACAUAACAUUUCAAUUUUCAGUUAAAUGAGCUACAUAAAAAAGAUUUGGACUUACAAGUAUUUAUCUGUCAACUUUAUGAAAAAAGAGCCUUUUGAUUGUUUCAUUUGUCAUUUCUUAAUCACAUUAAAUUUUUUUAUAAUUGAUGGCCUUUUUCUAUUAUGUUCUAAGAAAUUGCUUGAGUUUUGUUUUCUAGAACUCUCGUCUUUUUUUUUCUCCAACAAAAUGGAUGAGGCUAUAAAUUCUAGUUAUAUGCAGUUUCUCCUUUAAUUCACGCAUGUUUGAUUCGAAUGUGAGAAUUCCUACAUAGAUUACAUUAUAUUUUAAUAGUUAAUAGUUUUCAUGAAUGAUAGAGUUUAUGUUGCCAUGUAGAGUAGUUUGUGAUGAUAUAUACUCCAUAAACUUUCACGUGUGUUAAACUUGUAAUGAUAAAAUUUAUAUUGUAAAUUAGAAAGUACUAAUAUAUAUAUNNNNNNNNNNNNNNNNNNNNNUAUGUGUUACCACAUUAUUGAUAUUUUAGAAAGAAUUUUUACUUAUAUGUCUUUGUAUAGGAGUAAUAUUUAGUAUAUUUUUGGUUUGAUUUUCUUGUCAUUGGACAUAUUUUACUUUUAUUUUAGGAGUUCGUAAUGAGAUAUUAUUAAUUUAGUAUAAUUUUAGUUAUUUUUAUUGUAUGAUCAUGGGUGAAUUUUAUGACAAAUAUUUUUGUCAUGAAUUAAAUUAAUUCAUCACAAGUUGAUUACAUUUAGUGACACAAAUGUAUUGUCCUAGUACCCCUUUUAUUGAAUAUGAUUUUAUUUUUAUUUUGUGACAAUUGUAAGUGUCACUACUUAUGAUAAUAUUUUGUGACAAUAUAUGUCGUCGAUAAAAGCAGCACUUUUAGUGACAAAAUGAUAUAUUUAAUCACAAAAUUAUUAACUUUUUUUAUUAUAUUAAAUUUAUCCCUAAUUUAUACAUUUAAGGACAAAAUAUUUUUUUGUAUAUAAAAAAAUAGUCAUUAGUGACGAUAUUGUAUUUUUCAACUACGAAAUACAUAUAGCUUUAGAGACAUUUGAUGUCGUCACUGAUUGAACAAAAUAAUUAGUGAUGAUUUAAUUUUGUCACUAAUAAUAAUAUUUUUAGUGACAAAACAUACUAUUAACUACAAAAAAGUUACACUUUUAUGACAAAAUAAAUUCGUCACAAAUGUUUAUGCAUUUGGGGACAAUUUUUAUUUUGUAGUUAAUUAUAAUAUUUUAGUGACGAAGCACUAAAUCGUCUUUGUAUACUUUUAGUGACGCACGUUUAGUGACGACUGACUGACGAAAUUUUUUUUCGUCACACAAGAGUUUUAGUGACGAAAUAUGAUUUAUAGAUGACGAAAUUGUACGAACUCUUCUUGCAUGUUCCAUCAAUGAAUCCUGAUUUUCGUUUGGCUCACAAUGCAAUCUUCAUUUCUCUGCUCCAAAUCGAGUAAUUCUCUGAUCCACUGAGAUGAACAGAGAUUAUUACAUUGCCAGGAUUAUCUGAUGGUAACAGACAUAGAGGAUGUCGAUGAUCUGUAACCUCCAAUUCCACCAUCGCUAAUCCUUAGAGAUUUUGAAAAAAAAAAAAUUGCAUGAAUUUGGGGAAAACUUUUGCAGAGACUUGAGCAACUUCACUACUCAACUCUUGAAGCUCCAAUCACCCUAACCGUAGCUCUGAUACCAUGAUAAAACCUCCAUUGAAGAAAUGAAGACUUUCUAGAUCAUUCUUAGAGCUUAACAGAGAGAGUAAAUAACUGCUUGUGUGUAUUGAUUAGAAUGAAUACAAAAUGAAUGUACAUUUAGUGUAUCUACUACUAUUUAUAGAAUGACUAACUAACUGAUUAGUCUAACUAACUACUACAUAAUAUGUUAUAACAGAAUUCUAGUAAUACAAUCACUAUUUCAUCCUUUCUCUACAACAAUCUCAACAAUUUUAUUGAGAUGCUCAAUUAUUUUAAUUUCCAACUAAUAGUCUUGACAAUAUGAAUAAAAAUAUGAUAUUCUUGAUGAUUAAUUUAGGUAUAUGAGUGUUUCUAGCUUUAUACCGAGAUACAAUUAAGUGCAUGAUGAACUAGUUUAGAACCAAUGCAUUAGUAACUAUAUGUUUGAAUACAUACGCAACCUUUUAAACUUGUAUGUAUUAGUAAUCACCCUUUAGCUAAAUGCAAGUAAAGGUAAUAUUUUAUUUUAUAAAAACCAUUCACCCAAGCUUUCAAUUUUUCAGGAUGAGAGUUUAGGCUGGAUCUAUACCUUAUGUAUUAUUUGAGUUAAUAUCUUAAAAUGUCAUUGAACUAUGAGAAAUUAUCUAAAAAAGUCUUUGAACUUUAUUUUGUGUCAAUAAAAUCACCCAACUUAAGACUUUUAUCUUCAAAAAUCACUCAACUAAAUUUAUCAUUAAAAUAAAUUUAACAUGAAAAAAUGAUUUUUUUUUCCUUAUGCCAUUUAAUCAUGGACCCACAAAAAAUAUUGUGACAUAUAAAUCUUUGAAAUAACCACAAAAAAUUACAAAAAUAAUAUCUAUACUUUGUUGUGAUUUUUCAUCUUCUACUUCUGAACCUCAACAACCUCUCCAGCAGUUUCAAUACUUACAACUUCACCAACACCUUGAGCAGCCAGACAUUAGUUCUAAUAGCUAUUACUGGUCCUUCAUUUGGUUCCUUACGAACAAAAAGAUAAGAAAUAAAGACCUUGGCAGAGAACAUUUUGAGAUUGUAUUACUUUUAAAGUAAAAUUAUUACCUGGGUUAUGGUUCACUGAUAUGCCAAAUUUAAUUUUGGUUAUUAUCGUUUUACGUAUCCGGGUGAUAAUCAGUCAUUUGAAGCCUCAUUAGUUGGAAAUAUAAUUUAUUUCUUCCUAUCAAAUUUAUUUUAAUGGUAAAUAUAGUUGAGUGAUUUUUGAAGAUAAAAACCUUAAGUUGAGUGAUUUUAUUGAUACAAAACAUAGUUUAAUGACUUUUCUAGCUAAUUUCUAACAAUUUAGUGACAUUUUAAGAUAUUAACUUUGUAUUAGUUAAACAAAAGAAUGAAAUAGAAGGAAUUAAACAUUACCUCUAGAUAUAAGAGGAUGCCAAGAAAGGAAAGUGACAACUUCAAUUUAAAGAUAGCUAAGAUAGACAAAAACAGGCUACCAUUUACAUUAAAUGGUGAGGUAUUCAGAGUUUGAUUACACGAUGUAUCCAUCUUUAUGUUCAACAACCUCUACUCUGUCAACUUCAUUACCAGUACCCGAUUUUGCUUCACCAACUUCCUAUGUUUCUGUCACGACCCAGACCGCCGUGAGUGGCACCCACACUAACCCUCCGGUGGGAGAACCAAAACUAAAGCCCAACUCAUAAAUUUUCUGAACACUAAGGCAUUUAAAGAUACAGAAGCAGGUUUAAAUAACUAUAAAAAAAGGAGUCCCUAUAAACUCCAAGGUUUUAACAAUUAACUAACCAAACUAAUGCGGAAAUUCAUCCCCUAAAACAUGAAAGUCAAUGUACCAAAACUUUACUAACGACAAAUCUAAGAACAAUGGGUACAACCCCGAAACUAAACAAACACCUUAAACAAAUAGUCUGAGUCAGAACAGAGUCGACUUAACAAAAGAGAUCCGUGGCAGCCCGAAAGAAAUGGCUCACCCUUGAAUCCGAUCACACACAAUAGUCACCUAGCUGAGGUCUAUCAAUAGCCUCCUGAAGAGGCCCUGUACUCAACAAAGAACAAGCAAGUUCAGUAUCAGUACACAACCACAGUGUACUGGUAGGAUCACGCGGCUAUCCCAAUAAGUGUAACAUACAUUAGUCAAUACAACAAUAUAAUCACAUGCACAUAAUGAACAUAUACAAUAUCAUCAACAUAUACGAACAAUGAACAACUUCACAAUUCUCACAUAUCACAGUUAUAUCAAUUUAGAGCAACAUACUGUCUUCCAAUAUCAAUCGUCAUUAGAUAUGAACGAAAUCAUCACAAGUAGAUACACAACACAAUUAAAUGGUCCUCUCACGGAACCCAAUUCAAUGGUCAUCUCAUGGAACCCUCACCCAAACAGUUAGUAUACCGGAACGUGGUACCCGAUCCAAUGAUUAUGCCGAAACGUGACAAUCGAUCCCAUAAUUAUGCCGGAACGUGGCAACCUAUCCAAGUUAGUUAUGCCGGAAUGUGGCAACCGAUCCAAGUUAGUUAUGCCGGAACGUGUCAGCCGAUCCAUUCAACAUGCCACAAUCACAAUCACAAGUAUAUCCUCAAGAUCAUACAUUUAAGUCAUGAUUUCAUGGUAACCAUCAUUCAUCUAUCUCAUUUACAACAAGUGUGAUCAAUAAUGCAACAUUCAUAUACAUACAUGUAUCAUAAUGAAGUAAGAACAAACAUACAUCACAGAAUUACAGAAUCACAACUAUCACAUAGCUCGAAUCCAAGCUUGAAUCCCCUAAGGCACUUGAAUCUUCCCUUUUCGGAUUCUUCCCGCUUGUUUGUGGUCUAAAAACAUACAAAUAACGCAAGGAUCAACAAACGAGGCCUAAUUACCCGGAUUAUAAUCAAUAAAUAUCAAUCCUAGGUGAAACGCUUGGUCCCCAUACCCAGAUUAGGGAUGUUUCCACCAUAGAAUCUAUAACAAAACCCUACCCCAUAAACAUUCACCCAUUCUAUUACGUUCUACGGAUCGAAAAAUGAAUUUGGGGAGUGAAAAACUUACAUUUAGCCUCAAGAAUGGUGAAAAAUGAGUAGGAGUCGCUAGGGGUUCGUUCCUUAGCUCUAAAAAUCGAAAAGUGCUAAUUAAGGUAGUUUAAGGGUUUAUUUACGACUUUAAGUCUCGUCGAACCCGCUACGGCGGGACCCAACCUGCCACAGCGACCCCGCCAUGGCGGCACUAUCCCGCUCUGGCGGCUUGCACAGAAACAAUGAGCAAAUUUAAGAAUUCCAACUCCCAUUUCACAACACACAUUCAUCCCAUGACACUCAGAAAAUACAUGAUCAUACUAAGAUCAGUUUCGGGAGUUCUACUCACCCGAAUUCAAUUCUGUAAAGUCGUACGGGUUCCUUAACGUCUUAGCUAUCCACUCAUGUAAUCAAAUUCAUUAAUAGAUCUCUCAUUGGUUACCAGAUUUCCCUAGACCUCACUGACUCCGAUUUCGUCCAAAUCUGGACUAGGCUAGGAAAUCUCAAGUUACUACGAAAAAGUUUUCUGACCCCAGUUCUUUCUCCAUUGGCUUUUCCAUAACGAUGAAAAUCAGGUCAAUAGAUACCAAUUUACCCAUCAUUUGUCCCCGAGUGACAAACUAGGAGAAAAGGGCUAAAACAAGAAUAUAGUAGUAAUUGAAUCGUCAAAUAACUAGGGAUACUUGUCCCACAUACUUUUUUCUGUCGACUCUGGGCUGCUAGAAGCUUAGAUUGGAUACUUCUCACCUUACCCUAAACAUCUUUCACCAAAUCAACUCUCAAAGGUUUCACGUUUUCAACCUCAAACCAACCAAUUGAACACCUACACAUGCUCCCAUACAAUGCCUCAAUGAAGUCAUCUUAAUACUCGAGUGAUAAAUAUUGUUGUAUGCAAACUUAACUACAACAAAAGUGAUUCCCAACAACCACCAAAGUUGAUUGUACACACGUCUACAACAUGUUAUUAAGGACCUUGACACAAUCAUCCGGACGAAUCUUUUAACACUUAAGCAGAUAAAAUUCCAAGUCAAUACUCGCUACAAAUAGAAGUGAACCUAAAUCAACCAACACACACUCACAAUACCCAAACAAUCAUAGUUGUUAACAAUAUCUCCAUCCCACAACAUAAAUUCCCAUGAGCUUAAGUUAUAACCAAUUUGAUCUUUAGAAAUCAGGUACUCAUCAAGGGAUAUGUCCAAGCAUACAACCCCUCCAACAACACUAUCGAAAUGCUAGAUUUAGUAAUUAUAGAUUACCUCUUAAUAACAGUAGAAUUGGACCUAAUGAUCCCCACAUUCAACCACACAUAACCGGUACAUGACCUCGACGACUAGAGGAAUAUUAAGAUUGUCGGACAAUCACAAAUACGCAUGGCAGCUCUUCUAUAAAUUCUCAUAACCAAGGUGGUACAUGUAGAACCACAAAAUAUUUUUAACAACUCCAAGACAACAUCAAUUAUUUCAUUCGAAAUAACCAAAUCUUCCCAAUAUUCCCACUCAACCAAGAGAAUAUUGCAGGAUUUGGUACCCCCGAUCCACUACCAGGGAUCCACCCACAAAAGUGAAAACACACGAGAGCAUAGCUAGUGAAUCAUACUCACAAUACUAACAACCAUCAUAACACUCUGACCAUUUACCUUAUUAUAACUCAACACUUUUUAAAUGAAACAUUUCUUAGAUACUUAACAAUCAAUAAUAAUAAACUUUACCACUCAAUCCAGGUGUAAGUCCUUUCAAAUACUCAAUACCGGAUACAAUUGAUCAUUUCUCACCUUGCCAAUUCAUACUUUGAUAAAAUACAUCACUACGAAUGUAGACUCAAUAAAGGGAGACUCAACCUCAACACCCCGAGCAUGAUCCAAAUAAGCCAAACAACCCAGUCUUACCAGUUUCUUAGCCCGAAUGGAGGAUAUGAUCUUAGCUAGCUUAGGCUUGUACACCCCUUCCCAAUAUAAUCUUUCCCUACCGGGGAUCUCUAUAGUUACCGACUUAGUAUUACAAUUAAGCCUGGUAUAAUAGGGGGACAACCAAUUCAUGCCUAAGAUUAUAUCAAGUCAGUCAUAUCCAGCAUAACCAAAUCAACCCAAAUCUGAAAAUCCAUAACCACAACAGGACAACACGAUACACAUAGGUGACUAUGAAUGACUCUUCAACUGGGGUAGUAACAUGGAUGGGGGCAUCAAGUAUACACAAACCACAUCAAAUCCCAAGGCAAUUAAACUGACACAUAUGAAUAAGUAGAACCCUGAUCAAACAAAACAAUAGCCAUCCGGGCACAGACAAGAGUAGCACUCGUGACCACUGCAUCACACCCUCAAACUCGGUCUAACCCGGAAAAACAUAAAACUGAGUCAUGUCAUCUUGACUAGCAACCUCAUUGCCUAGAUGCACAACUCAUCUACCUGCAUUACCAUUUUCCCAGCCUCCACAGCCUCGUUGAUUUCCUCCUCAUAUGCCCAGGUUCUCCACAAUUUUAACACAUUUUAUGACUUAUAUUCUUAGAUCGUCGGGGUUAGUUCAGGUACGAUUCGGGGGCCAUAAUUGUGACUAGGGGAAAACAUGGGAGAUUGGGCUAAGAUUCUAUCUCUCUUUGUCCCGCUUUGGCGGGAGAAAUCCCGCACUGGCGGUGUCACCUUGGCGGGAAAAUCCCCCCCAGCGGCUAUAAUGAAAACAGAAUCCCUGCCAACAAUUUUUCUGGGUUUCUUUUCUUUCCCAAUUUCCCCCAAAGGUUCCCAACUAUAACACAGACAUUUUUAGAGUACUCAAUCCCCUUAGCUAAGAUAAUCGUUGCCUACCCCGAGUCAACCCAACGAUACACACUCCAAAAUCCCUUUACGUUACUUCAACACUACAACAUCCUCGUCCCCAUGAUAUACCCAGACUCUCACACGGUUUUCAGUUGGUCGCAACGCAUGUCCAAAUUUCUCGUUUACGAACCACAUCGUAAUUUAUCUAGACCCUUGCACCUAAUCUCGUGAUGACUUUCUUUUCACAACAAGUUUCACGACACUCAAGCAGUUACAACUUGCAGACAAGUCCAAAUUCCUUAAUUAGCUCAUUCCAUAGAUGACCAUUACUGAUCAUCUAUGCCUUAUAUGACCCCUAAGGCAAGAUACCAAUUGCAACCUUCUCAAUUCUAAUUAACUUGCUUGUGUCACUUUAGCCGGGACUACGGCGUCUAGUUCACUUCGUUGAGAUACCAAUUGGAAUCGGGAGAUACCAAUUGGAUUCAACUCAUACCACAAGCGACAAUAGUAGCUAGCUAGCCCCACAAAACUACUAAUUUCAAUCAUAGAACUUGGUCGAACCAAAUUCUUAACCGCCUCAACCUUUAACUGAUGGUAACCAUACCUUAAAUCAAUCUUAGAGAAAACCGAUGCACCUUGCAAUUGAUUAAAAAGGUCAUCUAUCCUAGGCAAUAGAUAGUUGUUCUGAAUGGUGACCAUAUUCAACUGUCGGUAGUCUAUACACAUCCUCUCUUACUGGUGAUGGUGUUACCGUUGUUGUUGCUCUAGCUCGAACCAUGGAGUGAAGGAGGAAAGAUAUGAAUUUGUAUCACCCAAAUACCAAUUAGAUUCAAGUCAUAGCACGAAGGAGUAGAAAGAAGUGAGUUUUUUCCUAAAGUCCUAUAGUCUCUCGAAGAAAAGUACGGACGUUAUCGUACCGUUCCGCAAGACUCUACUAGACUCGUUUUGGUACAAUGAGAUCAACGAACCUAGGGUUCUGAUACCAACUUUGUCACAACCCAGACCGUCGUAAGUGGCACCCACACUAACCCUCCGAUAGGAGAACCAAAACUAUAGCUCAACUCAUAAUUUUUAUGAACACUAAGGCAUUUAAAGAUACGGAAGCAGGUUUAAAUGACUAUAAAAAUGGAGUUCCCAUAAACUCCAAGGUUUUAACAAUUAACUAACCAAACUAAUGAGGAAAUUCAACCCCUAGAAACCUAAAAGUCAAUGUACCAAAACUCUACUAACGACAAGUCUAAGAACAAGGGGUACAACCCUGAAACUAAACAAGCACCUUAAACAAAUAGUCUGAGUCCGAACAGAGUGGACUUAAACAAGAAAGAUCCAUGGCAGCCCGAAAGUAAUGGCUCACCUUUGAAUCUGAUCACGCUCAAUAGUCACCUAGCUGAGGUCUAUCAAUAGUCGUCUGAAGAGGCCAUGUACUCAACAAAUAAAAAGCAAGUGCAGUAUCAGUACACAACCACAGUGUAUUGUAGGAUCACGCGGCUAUCCUAAUAAGUGUAACAUACAUUAGUCAAUACAACAAUAUAAUCACAUGCACAUAUCGAACAUAUACAAUAUCAUCAACAUAUACGAACAAUGAACAACUUCACGACUCUCACAUAUCACAGUUAUAUCAAUUUAGAGAAACAUACGGUCUUCCAAUAUCAAUCGUCAUUAGAUAUGAACGAAAUCAUCACAAGUAGAUACACAACACAAUUAAAUGGUCCUCUCACGGAACACAAUUCAAUGGUCAUCUCAUGGAACCCUCACCCAAACAGUUAGCAUACCGGAAUGUGGUACCCGAUCCAAUGAUUAUGCCGGAACAUGGCAAUCGAUCCCAUAAUUAUGCUGAAAUGUGGCAAUCGAUCCAAGUUAGUUAUGCCGGAACAUGGCAACCGAUCCAAGUUAGUUAUGCUGGAAAGUGACAGCCGAUCCAUUCAACACGCCACAAUCACAAUCACAAGUAUAUCCUCAAGAUCAUACAUUUAAGUCAUGAUUUCAUGGUAACCAUCAUUCAUCUAUCUCAUUUACAACAAGUGUGAUCAAUAAUGCAACAUUCAUAUACAUACAUGUAUCAUAAAUGAAAGCAAAAAACAAACAUACAUCACACAAUCAUAGAAUCACAAUCAUCACGUACCUCGAAUCCAAGCUUGAAUCCCCUAAGGCACUUGAAUCUUCCCUUUUCGGAUUCUUCCCGCUUGUUCAUGGUCUAAAAACAUACAAAUAACGCUAUGAUCAACAAACGAGGCCUAAUUACCCGGAUUAUAAUCAAUAAAUAUCAAUCCUAGGUCAAACCCUUGGUCCCCAUACCCAGAUUAGGGUUGUUUCCACCAUAGAAUCUAUAACAAAACCCUCCCCCAUCAACAUUCACCCAUUCUAUUAUGUUCUACGGAUCGAAAAAAUAGAUUCGGGGAGUGCAGAGCUUACAUUUAGCCUCAAGAAUAGUGAAAAACAGAGUAGGAGUCGCUUGGGGUUCGUUCUUUAGCUCUAAAAAUCUAAAAGUGCAAAUUAAGGUCGUUUAAGGGUUUAUUUACGACUUUAAGUCGUGUCAAACCUGCUACGGCGGGACCCAACCCACCACAGCGGCCCUGCCCUGGCGGCACUAUCCCGCUCUGGCAGCUUGCACGGAAACAGUGAGCAAAUUUAAGAAUUCCAACUCCCAUUUCACAGUACACCUUCAUCCCAUGACACUCAGAAAAUACCCGAUCACGCUAAGAUCAGUUUCGGGAGUUCUACUCACCCGAAUUCAAUUUCGUAAAGUCGUACGGGUUCUUUAAUGUCUUAGUUAUCCACUCAUGUAAUCAAAUUCAUUAAUAGAUCUCUCAUUUGUUACCAAAUUUCCCUAGACCUCACUGACUCCGAUUUCGUCCAAAUCUAGACUAGGCUAGGAAAUCUCAAGUUACUACGAAAAAGUUUUCUGACCCCAAUUCUUUCCCCAUUGGCUUUACCAUAACGACGGAAAUUAGGUCGUUACAGUUUCAAGAUCAUCUUAGGGUUGAUUCACCUACAGUGUUUUCUUGCCUCCAUCUGUGUUCAACAGCCUCUACUCUGUCAACUCCAUUACUAGGAACCGAUCAUAUCACAAUGAACGAUCAGAGAAUAUUAAAAGUUCCACAUUUUGUCCAGUAAAUUUAAUAAAAUUAUCACUAAAAGUCAUAUUUUUAAUAACAAUUGAUUUGCGACAACUAUAAUGCACCACAAUAAAUAUCUUAAUUUCCUUUUAGCAUUCAUUGUUGUGGUCAGUAAAUUUAAAUAAUUUUCUCUAGAAGGCCACAAGAUUUAACAGGUAUGGUUUACACACCAACGAAAAUGGCUACAAUAUUUUUUUUUUAGAAAAAUGAUCUAAUUUGCUAAUAAAUUUAAUUAAAAUGUUAGUAUAAGGGAGCCGUUUAGUGGCAGCAAAAUUUAGAAAAUGCUCGUUAUAUAUAUAUAUAUAUAUCUUUAGCUCUAACAAACAAAAGAAAGUAUUAAUCCAAAAUACUACUAUAACAACUUUAAAAAACUAACACAAAUAAUAUUCUUCAAAUAAUUUUUGCAACUCUUCAUCAUAUUGAAGUCUCUCAAAUUGCUAAAUUUUUUUAAUUUUAGGUAAUUUCCUACUAAAGCAUCGUAGUCCCUCAAUAAAAAGAUUUUAACUACUAAACUAAAUACUGAUAGAUACUAUACACUACAUCAAAAAUGAUCAUUAGCGAUAAUCAAUUCUUAAUUGCCGCAAAAUAUCUAUUUUUAGCGGCAAUUAGCACUCUUUGCAUAUGUCCCUAAAUCCUUUAGCGACAUUGGUUCUAAUGGCACUUAACUAAUGUCAGUAAAGACUUUAGCACUCUUUAUUAAUGUCCAUAUUUAUUGCCGCUAAAAGUUGUUUUUGUUGUAGUGUAUAUUCUGUAUCUACCGAUGGAUACAUAUCGCGAUAUCGUCAGUUAAGUCUUGAUAAAAAAAGUAACAAAUACUUUCGAUGCAUGAAAAAUUACUAUUGUCGUUUCAAAAGUAGGAAGUGCAUUAUUAUAAUUACCGGGAUGUAUAAAUGUUCUAAAACAAUUAAUAAUUUAAAAAUAUGAAUGGAGUCUCUCGAUAUCUCUAAAUACACCGGAAUUAAAUUUCUCUGACUACGGAAAAGACAGUUAUCCUUUUGUUAAAUGAUUUGAAUAUCGAUUUAAUAACUUUAUAUGUUAACUUAUUAGAGUAAUACUAACUGUAUAUAAAAUCUAAUAAAAACUCAAAAAGUAAGGGUGCAAAACUACAAACAUAUAAAUGUACAAUAAUUCCAACAACUUAAAUCUGAAAUAUGUGAUAUUCAUGAAAAACUCUAGAAAAAUUAAAUGAGUUGUCAAACAUAUGUUAUAUAAUUAGUUAUUUUUGAAAUUUCCUCAAAAAUAGUAUUUCUCAGCAAGUGGUCCUAAUAGAUUCCUUUGUUUGUAACCUAUGAGGAAAUUAAGUGGACAGUCAGAUUUUGUACGGAGAGUUGUUAUGGACAAAUUUGAUUGCUCUAUUGUAACUCUACGGCCUCACUGCUAAGAUAUUAUUCCUUUGAUAUUAUAUUGUUCAAUCAUUUUUAUUUAUUCAUUAUACAUAGCAUGACUCUUAAAAGAUAAUAAUAAUGAUUGAUAUAAGGCUUGUACCAAAAAGCUCAUAUUAAUUAGUAAUAUUUAGUAUUAUGCUUUGAAUAAUAAUUUUAAAAAAAUAAUUAAUAUGUCAAAUGUGACCAGUAGAAAUUAUAGUUUUGAAAUAUUAGAUAGAUUCCACCAUUCUACAUUAAAUCUUGUUUUAUUGUUCACGUGGCAUGUUUUAUUUUCUAGAGUUUUGUAUAUCACCAUAUGAAUUUAGCAAAAGAAAGGGACGUAAAUAUUUUGCAAUAAUAAAUCGUUUCAUUAAGAAUAAAAAGAUUACACAUAAAUUAAAACAGAGGGAGUAGGUUAGAUAUUCUAACAAACAUUAAUGAUUUAAUUUAACCAUCGAGCAAUUCAAUAGCCACACUUUGGAUGGAGAUCACAUCUCCACCCGUUUUAGGAACCACAGUUACCGUAAUGGUAUCGUCAUCUUCCAGCUCAAUGUCCUCUAACAGUUCAGUAAUGCCUAGCUGAAACAUCUCAUCAGAAUCCAUUUUCUUAUUAUGUGCAUGAACGUGAGGCAAGUUGACAUAGCUCCCCGCGAACUCCACCUUAUCAAGCUCAUCCGUAUUCACAUCCUCAUCCUCGUUCAGGAACACAUCAAAUCUUAUAUAUUUGUUAGUAUCAUACUUUAAACCCUUGAAUAUUAGCACCUCUUCUUUUUCGUCUUUAUCCUUUUGACUCCUUGACGUAGUUGGCCUAUUGAUGGAAAACGAAAAUGGGUUUGUUGAGGUUAGCAAUUGGGAAUACUUUGUUUGCUGGCUUGAUGUUUGUUACAUCCACUUUUCCUUCUCUGCCUUUUCUUGUUGGCCUACAGUUAACCCACGGGAUGGCUGCUGGCGCGUAAUCAUAACCCAUCUUCUUCGUAUCCAAACAGUCUCCUACCCUCACACGGUAAGGGUUUUUGUUUUCAUCGUAGAAAAAGAAUUCAGAGUUCAACCAAUCUGGAUCUAUGAUAUCCCUUCUUUUCCCGCCUAAUCCUUUCCAUACUUUCCACAUUCGGUCCACAUUGGCAUGGUGGCAAUAGAAAAUCGGGUCUAAAGCGGCUGAGUAGAAAUUACCCAUAUCUUCACCUAAUGACAGUUUACCACCACCCAAAUCUGUAUUUCUAACAGUACCAGCCCAAAUGUGGACCGGAGUAUGAGGGAUGUUUUCAAUAGUUCCCUGACCUUUGGAAUCGUUAUUCCCAAGGACGUAACGAGCACCAAAGAAUUGCAAAGGGCAUGCAGCAUUAGUUAUCAUUGAACGGUACAUUAAAGUUAAGUUGUUAGUCACCGUUUGUCCAACAUCAGUAAUAACUUCGUCUCUAGGAGAACUAAAAUCGAUUAUGGUUCCAUUACGGACAUGUGGAUUACGUCUUGCAUCAUAAAGGGGAGUAGUUUCACGAUCGAACAUGGGAGGUAAACGCAUACCUUUUGGAUGGUCCCAAUUCCAAUAUGGUAAAGCGAAAGUUGGAUCAUCAAUGAGUUUUCCCAAUAUUCUCUCGUAGAAAAGGUAAACGCAUACCUUUUGGAUGGUCCCAAUUCCAAUAAGGUAAAGCGAAAGUUGGAUCAUCAAUGAGUUUUCCCAAUAUUCUGUCGUAGAAAAAUAAGUACCAUCUAUGGAACGGGAAGAAAAGCCAUGAUUGAUGAACUUGUAAAAUUUCAUCACCGAAUUUGUAAGCACCAUUGCAAUAAGCACAAUGGAUGUUGGCUUGUUGCAUGAAUGAACGAGGAUCGUCUUUGUCUAGUUCCUUCAUUCUUUUAGUUUCCAAUUGGUACUUUGCUAUAUAUUCCUUAGUCACGUCUUGAGCAACAGGACGUUUACGGAGCUUAGACAUGGGAGGAAGAUUGUAAUAUGGAAUGUUGUUCAAGUCCUUUGGUGUAGGAGGGCAACAACUAUAUUCUACUAGAUCUUUACUCCCCGUUUUCGUGGCUUUACUACAUGAUUUCAGAUCAGGCGGCGGUAUAGGAGAAGCAAAGGCUAAUGGUGCAAGAUUGGAAGCACUAUAGAGCCCUCCUAAACCAAGAAGCACAUUUCUCCUAUCGAUAUUUGCUUUAAUAUUUUGGUCGUGCUCAUUAGCAUUGCAUGAGACGUGGAAAAUUUGACUACGCCUUCUCUUCAACAAACGCGGAGAAUAAGGUUUUGCAAACAAUGAUGAGAGUGUUGUAGUAGUGAGAGUUUUGCUACUCUGGUCAUCAAGACUUAAACAGAUAGAAUUAAUGGAAGAUGAAGAAGCCAUUAGAUUGAGUGAUUGUUGUGAUUCGUAUCAUCUUAUAAAUAAAAGUGAGUAAAAUAAUCAUAAAGUUACAUAAAAACAAAAAAACAAAAGCUAUUGCAUUUCUAACCUUACAUGUCCACAUGAAGGAGUAGAUUAGGUAACCACUAAAGAACAAAAAUAUAAACAGAUAUUUAGAUAGAAUCUAUUUAUAUUAUGUACGGAUGUAAUAAGAAAUAGUCAUCUACUCGGCAAGUUUGAGAUAUUCAAUAUAAAAUCUAUCUAUAUUGUGUACGGGUGAUUUUUAAAAAAAGUAUAGAGUACACAAACCUCAAUAAUUUGAGAAUUACAUUCUAAUUUAUAUAUUUUUUGUAUAAUAUAAUUUAUAUAACUGUUAAAAGUUCAAAUGUUUGUGUUUGUAUAAAUUCGUUAUUUUGAGUUUAUACAAAACAAAUAAAAAAAUAACUCAAUUAUACAAACAUACCAGCGAAUUAUACAAACGAGGCAGGUUAAACUGUGUAACUACAACGCGUAAAUAUGCAAACUAUAGCUAUGGAGCAUAAUUAAGUUUAUUAUAGUGACAAUUUGCUAAAAUUCCUCUUUUAUUAUUCAUUCUAGUUGAAGUUGAAGUUUAGCCACAUGUAAUAUAAAAUUCAUGAUUUGAAAUCAAAUUGAUUUGAAGUUAAAGUUUUGUUUAGAUAUGCAAUUUAAAUAUUUUGAGUUGUAAUUUGUCCCAUAAACAUGAAAACACUACUAAAAAUUGAGUCAAAUUCAAGAAUCUGGUUUUCAAAAAUAUUCAUUAAAAAUGCAACUCCUUGAAAUUGAACUCAAUACUUUCUGACUUUAGACAAUUCUACACAUAACCACACAUACUCUUUUUAAUAAAAUAUUUUCAUCAUUUUUAUUUAUACUCUUUAACUGUAAUUUGACACUUUAAAAAUCGACCUUAUCCGUCAAUUUGUGUAAACAAUAAACAUAUAAUAAAAAUCAAGGGAUUGUGUUUGUUUUCUUUAAACCUUGCAAUAUAUGUGGAGAAACUUGAAAAGUGAUUGGAUGCAAUAUUCAAGGCUCAAGGUGGGAAAACAUUAAUAAAAGUAUAAAACGACGUAAAGGUGACAGAGAAGAUAAAAUUGACAUUUUAGAGAUAUUUUGGGUGAAGGCCAAAAAUAUCGUAAACUAUUUGAAAUAUGUUAAUUUUUCUUUUUAUUACGUUUUGGUUCAAAAUAUCUUCUUCAAUCUUCAUUAUGAUUUUAGCUUGAAAAAUGUCAUUCAACUAGCUAAAAAAUAUCCUGUCUACUGACGGUUGUUAAAUAUUAUGAUAUUUAUAAUUUAACAAUAACAAUUAUUUUUCAAUUAUAUGAAAGUAAUUAUUUGUGAAUUUUAUAUGAGGUCCAAUAUAAUAGCCAAGAAUUCAAAGUGUAUUUCCUUAGUAUCUACUGAUAUUUUUUCUACUUUAAUUUUCAUAUGGUGUCCGGUACUUAUAUUGAAGUUCAAUAGAUAUUUAACUUUGUCUUAUUUUUUAAAAUUAUGCAAAAAUUACUUAUUUUGUUUUAUAGGUUAGUCAAAGAACCUUUUAUAACAACUCCGCUUUUGUUUUGUAGGUUAGUCAAAGAACCUUUGAUAGUUUUUAUUUCGAAAACAUUUAGAAAAAAUAAUAAUAAUUAAAUUCUUAAGUUGACAUUAUUUUACCUUUCACAAGAAAAGUGUGAAUUAUCGGAGGAUAUUUUUAGAGGGGUUAUACAAGGAAAUUUAUCGGUAAUUUAGUUUCUUGUGAAUUUUCUAAGAAUUUUUCAAAGCCCUAAAUAAAUUAAUUCGAUGAUAUUGAUUUUUCCUUUCAUGAAUAAUAUUACUUUCUCUAUCCAACCAUACUUGUCCACUAUAUUAUUUUGGGAUGUCAACAAUACUUGUCCACUUUAUAAAAUUAAUGGAUAAUUUUACACUUAGUUCUUAAAUCAAUGGGUAAUAUUUUUCCACAAUAGUAUCAAUGUCUGAAAAACUCUUGGAUCACAUUUUACUCGAUUAUAUUCUUAAUUAAAAUUAUAAGUAUAUAAUUCUAGUUUUUUGCUUCAACACUCCGUUGUUUAUAUUUAUAUAUUUCAUUGAAAUAAGACCGAUACAACGUCAAAAACAAUAUGCCACUGCUCAGUUUGAUCCAAUCUUGAAUUAAGGAAAAUUACAGUUCAAUGCCUUGGCACAUCUAAUUUACAAAAUAUGUACACAGUAUCUAAGUAUUAUAAACAUUAUACUAAUAAAUAUGCAUAUACACAUGUGAAUUCUGGAUGAUUCUUCGAAUUUGUAUUUGAUCCUAAAUUAUUGCAAUGAUUCACUAUACUAAAAGAGAUAUUUAAUUUCGUGCAAUAAAUUUUCAGUUAAGCGAUAAUAUUUGUUGUCACAGAUAUAUUCAAAGUCGCUAAAGUCUUUCACAAAAUUUAAAUAGAGUGUAAGUUAUAAAUAUUCAUAUUUAUCAUUGCAUUGCCAUUAAAUAAAAUACAUUCACAACUAAUGAGUAUCUAAUUGUAAAAGUAUUUUUCUCUUAAUUCUUAAAUAUAUGUAUAUAUAAAAAGUUUGCGAUUAAUAUAUGUAACUGUUCCUAAAAUGAUUUAUCUGUUCAAAAUCAUUGAAAAUUCUUAAUAUCAUGCCUAGAUUAAUAAUUUAUGAUUAAUAUAAGGAUCACAGGAAACCAGGAAUUGGAUUUGUCUCAACCCUUGCCUUGAGAGAGAAAAGCUUUUUAGAAAGUGAACUCAUAUUCAGGCAAAAAUUGUGGUUAUUAAAAUAUGAAAAUGUGAACUUAUGUCCGAAAAAAAUUAUUUAUUAUGAGGGAUAAAAAUUAAAGGGAAAAUUGUACGAAAGAGCAAAUUUUUAAUUCAAAUUAAAUGUUAUAGUCAUAGUUUCUUUUAUUUGUAAUUCGCAGCAAACAUUCCAUGUUUUUUGUCAUCCCAUUUGUAUAUCGAAAUAUAAAAAUAGACCAAAAUAUACAAAUGCAGGACCCAUUUGUAUAUCGAAAUAUACAAAUGCAUGACCCAUUUGUAUACCGAAAUAUACAAAUACAUGACCCAUUUGUGUACCGAAAUAUACAAAUGCAGGACCCAUUUGUAUACCAAAAUAUACAAAUGUAGGACACAAUUUGUAUACCGAAAUAUACAAAUAGACCCAAAUACAUAUUUUUUAUGUAUAUGUAUACCGAAAUAUACAGAUUAAUAGCCAUAGCAAACUUUAUGUAUGUUAUGGAGCGCAAUUAUAUAAAUUAUACCUAUAGCAUACAAAUAUGAUUUUUAUGUUUGCUAAACCUAAAAUUUACUCAAAAUUAAAUACCGGCAAAAUAUAUGGUCAAAAGUUCAAGUGACUCAUGAAUAAGAGAACAACCAGACUUUGAUUUGGGCCAAGUCUUGGAAAAGACAGGCAAUAACAUGUAUCUGGCCCAAACUUAAACUAGCCCACCAACAAAUCAGUCAGCCCAAUCCCUAUGUGAUUUUUACAUCGUAAAACAAUUGUAGGACUUAUAUAUAAAAGAUCGUAAAAAUUACAUCAAUCUCACAAUGUUAAAAUCUAAUUACAUCAUAUUCCUAUUCUAUUUCAAAUUACAAAAUCCUUUAAAAUUAUAGAAUCUCGGAUACAUUAAAAAACUUGCGGAUACAUAGUUCACGAAUGUAUCCGAGAGGAGAUAGAGAUGUAUGCGAGAGAGAAUAAGGAUGUAUCCGAAAGGAGAUUUUUGUAAAAAAUUUAAAUGAUAGGAAAUUUUAAAGAUUAUGAUAUCUCAAGUUGUGUAUUAAUGUAUUUUUUAAAAUAUUACAUGAAUGUAAAACUUAUGAGUUAUGUUUUACUAUAGAAGAUGUAUAGUAAAUUAUUUGUAAAACUUAUACUCUUGAAUUAACCAAGUAAAAUAUACAUUAAAAAAAUCUAAACUUAUGAGUUAUGUUUAAAUUAUUUUUUAAGAAACUGAAAUCACAAACUUGUACUAAUUGAAAUCUUACCUUUUAAUAAGAUUUACAUCCAAAAACUUCAAAUUAGUUGGUCAAAUACCUAGCUAACAAGCUAAUCAAAAAAUCACUUUUUCAAAUUUGAAUCUUAUCUUUAUGGAAGAAAGUCAAAAUUCCAAGAAUCAAUUCAACAUAUUUUUUAAGAAAUUUUUGAAAAAGUGGAAAAUUCAUACUAACAAACAUAGCAAAGACAACAAUUGUUUGAAAUGUCAGCAAAAGAGUUUUGCUUUAUGCAUGCGUAAAAUUAUCACGUGAACAUCGCCGCAGAGAUUCCUACGCUUGAGAAAAGCUAUUCAAAUAGUGAAUACAUAGGCAUAGUACAAUAUGAUACGAAAUCGAUAUUAAAAAUUUCGAUUGGAUAACAGGAUUUUUUAAAUUUUUAAAAGAUAUUAUUAUAUUAUUGUUAUACGAAAAUUAAUCUAAUAUGAUUUGAUAGCCUAAAGUUUGAUUUUGAUUUUUUACGAUUGAUAAAAUGAUAAUUACAAUAUGAUCAGUAACUUAUACAUUUUCAUACAAUAAAGAAUGACUUCAAUUAUUUAAAAGACGUUUCAAUUAUAUCCUACAUACAUUGCCCGUUUGGCCAUGCGUUAUGAUACCAUGAUAUGGAAUCAUGAUAUGAUAUCAUAAUAUGGAAUUAUGAAAUGAAAUUGAAAUUUUGUUUGGACAUGCAAUAUGAAUUUUUUAUGUUGUAUAUUUUAUCAUAAACAUAAGAAUCUCAUAAGUUGUAAAACUAUUAAAAUAACGUCAAUUGUUUAUUCUAUCUUACCAAAUAAGUAAAAAUUUAUAAAAUCGCCUAAUAAAUUAUUACAAAGUUAUUUGUUCUCCACUUUAAGUAACUGUUUCAUUUAACUUUAAUUCAAUAAAAAAAUUGAACAUAAAUUGUAGUGUACAAGUCUUUAAUAUAAUACUCUCACAUAGUACGGACAAUUUCCUCACGUUGAACUUGCAUUUCUCGAUCAUGUGAUCGAGAAGACGAACCAACAUUGUUACUUUGUGUUGUAUUAAAUACAGAAUGAUAGAAGUAAUAAAUUAGGUGUUGGAGUAAAUGAAGAUAACAAAUUUAUUACUCAACAAUCGGUUGGUGUGAGUUAAAGUAACUAUAUGUUGGUGAGAAUAAAAAUUUUUAAAAAGUAAUGAUGUGAUUAUAAAUUUCAUUUACAUAUGAAAUAAAUGGUUAAUAUAUAUAAAUGUGGGAUUGUUUUAACAAAAUAUAAACUUGUUGAUCAAUUUUUGUAUUAAAAAUAUCUCAAAUCAUGAUAUGGAAUUCUCAUAUCAUGGUUUUUGAAGAAUAUGGAAUCACAUCUCAUGAUAUGGAAUCAUGAGAUGGAAUCAACGUAAAAUCGCAUGUCCAAACGCUGAUCAUAUCUCACGAUUUCAUAUCGUGAUAUGGUAUCGCAUGGCCAAACACCUACUAUGGAGAUGUUUUCCAAAAAAGUACAAGCAAUUUACUUCUUUGAUCAACCACCAAAAACAAUAUUUCAAUCAAGAUAAAAUAGUUGAAGUUACACCAUCUAAAUAAUUAAUUUUAAUACUUUGAUAUAGUGGUAUUUACGGUAAAAAAAAAUUAUAAUAUAAAAUUUUAAUUUCAAUAAAAUAUUAUAUAUGCGUUUAAAAGGGGGUUUCGUCGUGGCUAUGACGUGAGAUAAGAACAAAAAUGAAAUAAAUAUAUAUAAGGAAAAAUUCUUUUAGCCAGAAUUUGGUCAGAAUGGUAUUUUAUCUAUGUUAUUUUAUUUUUUAAACACUUUUACCCUUUUAACUUUAAUACCUUCUAAUUUAAGAUCAGUUUAUUUUAAAAUUAAAAAAAUAUUACUAUAUAAAUUUUUUAAAUUUCUAGUCAAAUUCUGACCAAAUUUUUCGAUCAUUUAGCAUUAGCCUACCUUAAAAAAACGAUAAAAAACAGCUUUUUGCAGCUUCACACCAUUGAUUAUCUGUCGUCAACUCAUUUGGGUCCACUAAAUUUUCUAUGAUUCAGACUCAUCACCUAACUUUUUCUGAUUUCUUCAAAAUAAUAUAUAGUAUUAAAUACACCUAUACUUAAUCUCAAAUUUAUUACUCAUAUAUUCCGACCUUGUCUUUGGAUUUUAUUGUAAAAACUUGUUUUUCUAAAAAUUAUUUUUGAGCUUGUCUUUCCAUUUUAUUAUUACGUACUUCUUAUUAUUUGAAUUAUUGUAUUGCAUGUGAGUGUUAUUGUUAUAUAUUUUCUAUUAUGUUUGAGCAUAAUUGAUUUGUUACUAUAUCUUUCUUCCUUUUUCUUUUUCUUUUUUUCAUAUUUUGGUUAUAUUUAUUUGAAUUGACAAUCUAUUAUAUGUUUUAUAAGGUAAUUAUAAGAUUAUAUUUAUAUUAUUUUAUAAAUAUUGUCAAAAAAAUAAUCCUUUGGACUACCCUCUCCCCUCUAGUUUAUUUGUCUAUUUUAUUGUGAAAAGAAAUUUAAAAAAUCUUCUUAUUUGUCAAUUUUAGUAACUUAAGAAAUAUUUUUUUUAAAAUAUUGCUUUUAUUAUUCGUAAUAAAUGUCCAGCUAGCUUUUAGCUUACUCAUUAUGAAACAAAAAAAAUACUACGUAACUCCUAGAAGAAUAUAGAUAUUUGUUUAAAAUAUUCUUCAUAUUUUAUCUAUUUAAUAAAAUAUCAUAGAAAAUUAAAGUAAUUUAGAAAACCUCUACUACGUAACUACUAGAAGAAAGUAGAUAUUUUAAUCAAAAUAUUCUUCAUAUUGUAUCUAUUUAAUAAUAUCAUAGAAAAUUAAAGUAAUUAAAAAAUUCUUAAGGAUAUGCAAUAAAGAGAAAAUUUGAAUUAAAAAAAAUCUUUCUUGAUUAUGUAAAUAUACACAAUUAUGAAAAUAGACACAAUUAAGUAAAUAUACCCUUAUUUUAGACAAAAAUAAAAAGUCUAGGUGGAUGCUUAUUAUGGAUUGGAGUGAAUUUUAAGCUUAAAUGUAGUAGUUAAGCUUAAAUUUUCAAAAUAUAAUUAUAAAUAAUAAUAUAAUAAAUUCCUAAUAAUAUUUUUUUAAAGAAAAUAUCAAGUCAACAAAGAUUAAGUAAAAUAUAAAUGAGGAAAAUAUUCGACACCAAUUUUAAAUUAAAAAGAGUGUAUCUCACGAAUCAAUCACAUUAAUAUAUUUUUAUUUAUAUUUAUAUUUAAAAUAAUUUAAUAACUUUAAUAUAAUAAAGUUUGAGUUGAACAUAUGUGUGAAAUCCCCCAACAUUGGGCUAUCACCGUCACUUUUAACGUGUUUGAAUUUUGCACCACUAAUAUCAAAUAAUAAUAAUAAUUAAAAAAAAUACAAAACAAUAAUGAUGAGUUAUUUCUUUUCAUUUUUUUCUUCUUAUAAAAUGAUGAGUUAAUUUUUUUUUCUAUUUAUAGAAGAAUAGAAAGUACUAGCUCGUAAAGUGCUGACAAAGCUAUUUACAAGUUGUUUGUAGGUUUUUUCAAGAAGCUAUUUAUAAGCAGCUACUGAAAAUUUAUAAUCUAGUAUAUUCAUAAUAUAUGUAUUUUUUUUAUAUUUAUUAAUAGAUAAUGUGUGGCCUCAAAACCUUAUUAGGUAAAAUAUCUAUCAAUAAAUAUACCUUAAAAGAGUCAUUUGUCUGUAGUUAAUGGAGGUUUAAAUUUGACUAUUUCAAGCGAUUUUGGACUGCUGCAUUUAUUUCAUUAAGAUUUAAGUAUUUGUUUGAUCUAAAUAAUUCUUAGUUAUUAAGGUUUCGAAUAAAGUUUAAAUAUUACUAUGAGCUUUUUAGUCAUCUAGUUCGGUAUACAAUUAGUCAUUUUCGGUAUAUAAUUAGUUAUUUUAUACAUUUCGGUAUAAAAUGUGUUUGUGUUUGUAUAAAGUGAGAGAAAAGUGUAUAUACAAAUAUAAAUACAUAUAUUUUCGUCAUAUACACUUAUAAUUAUACAAAUACAGAUCUUAUUCUACAAAUUACAAUGUAUAAAUGAAUUUAUACAAAANNNNNNNNNNNNNNNNNNNNNNNNNNNNNNNNNNNNNNNNNNNNNNNNNNNNNNNNNNNNNNNNNNNNNNNNNNNNNNNNNNNNNNNNNNNNNNNNNNNNNNNNNNNNNNNNNNNNNNNNNNNNNNNNNNNNNNNNNNNNNNNNNNNNNNNNNNNNNNNNNNNNNNNNNNNNNNNNNNNNNNNNNNNNNNNNNNNNNNNNNNNNNNNNNNNNNNNNNNNNNNNNNNNNNNNNNNNNNNNNNNNNNNNNNNNNNNNNNNNNUAUACAAUUAGCCAUUUUAUACAUUUCGGUAUAAAAUGUGUUUGUGUUUGUAUAAAGUGAGAGAAAAGUGUAUAUACAAAUAUAAAUACAUAUAUUUUCGUCAUAUACACUUAUAAUUAUACAAAUACAGAUCUUAUUCUACAAAUUACAAUGUAUAAAUGAAUUUAUACAAAACUGAACAAUUUAUAUAAAAUUGGGUGUAUCUAGCGAAUUAUACAAAUCAAAAAUUUCAUAACAAAUAUAAAAUUUGUUAUAAAGCACAAUUAUGCAAACUAUAGUUAUAACAUACAUAUAUAAUUUUUAUUAUUGCAAUAUGUGAAAGUUGCUCAAAAUAAAAUAUUGUAUAAUUUUUUAACCAAAAAAAUGUUAUAUACAAAAUAAAUGUUUAAUAGCAAAUUAAACUAUACCUAUAAAAUGUAAUUAUAUAAAUUAUAUCCAGAGCGUUAUUUUGAAAAAUACGUUUGCUAUGAAAUUUUCCCGUCUUUUUAUAUGAAUAAUUUUCCCCAUAACCAUCCACGAACCACACUUGUCAGUUGUCAUCGUAAUUACCACAAAGUCCAAAGAAGUUUUUGUAUCAAAGUAUUCCAAAUAUCCUUUCUGCAACUUCCUUUUUGAUCUGAGCUACUAAUUUAUAAUCACAUAAUAAAAUUCAAUGAUCUCAUUAAGAUUUUUAACUAACAUUUCGAGAUUGUAUUUUUAAAUCAUAUUGAUAUAAAAAAAGUUACAAUUUAUAGUACUUUUCGUAUAAUUUUUAAAUAUUUAAAAUUUUAUUUAAAAAUAUCGAAUUAAUGUAAUCUAAUUUACCUUUGAAAAAUAGUCAAAUUAACUCUCGAAAAGUACAACAUGACAACUAAAAAGCAACACAGGGAGUAAGAAGUUUCAAGAAAAACAAGUUUUUUUUUUUCUGAUUCUAAAAUGCUUAGUUAAGAAACUAUUUCAAUAACGUGCUUGAUAAUAAAGAAACUAUAUUCUAAUAAAUGUCAAAAUCUACCACAGUAUAUAACAAUAUAUGGAUGUUAACAAUUAUAAUAAAUUAAUGGUGAUGAUGACCAACCAAAUCAAGUUAAGAAAAGGAGAAUUUUGUCGUAUAUUUUUAGUUGUUUAUUAGACUAUCUUGUUGGCAACUUACUAAUGUUCCAAUAAAAUAAUUAAUUAAUCUUUGAUAGUUAUAUUAAUUAACUUAUGAAGAUCACCAAAGGUUUCGUUUGAAGUACACUUGAAAUUUGUAAGAUAUUAUUAAUUCUGGCCGUCUAUACAAUGACCUAAUACAUGGUAUACGGAUUAAUUAAAUUAUAAUUGAUUGUUCAACAACUGAAAAUAUAUAUAAAAAAAACACUAUUCUUUUCUUUAAAAUAAAUAAAUAAAAUAUAUCUACUUAUUGAUCCAUAAGUAUACUCGAGAAUGAGCUUAGGGAAAUUACACCUACCUACAAUGUUAGAUCUGGUUAUUUAGUUCAUUGGAUAAGGCAUGAUAUUAUCGUAUUAUAUUUGAGAUUAAAUUUAUAUUUUAUUUGAUUAAAAAUAUAAUUAAUUGCAUAAUACAUUUAUGCUUCAAUCCCUCAAAUUUAAUAUUAUUUUAUUCUACUUGAGAUAUGAGAUAAAUUAAUCUAAUAAUUAUAAUUUCAAAAACAUAAUUCUGAAAAAACUAUUUACGUAAACUAAACAAUCCUAAUGUUUUAAGAAUUAUGUUUUUUUUUAGUAAGAAUUUUGUUCAUAUAUAAAUAAAUUGGAUGCAAUGCAACUAUAUAUAUACUCUCCAUUAUGCUAAAAUUGAAGGAAAACAACAUAGAUAUUAUAAAAUUCAUGACUGCAAUUUGAUAAAGACGUGAAAGCAAAAGCCGAUGGUGUUAUAAGUUGAGAUAAAUUGAAAUAUUUUAUGCAAUUUAUUAUUCUCGAUAGUUAAUAUUACCAUUUUAGUACAAAAUAUAUUCAUAGACUAAUUAAUAUUCAUAAUCUAAUUAGAGGAAUAAAAAAUGCACAUUUAAUUAUUAAUUGUUAUCUUUUACUCUCUCCGUUCCUAUUUAUAUGUGGUCCUAACUAAAAAUAGAUGAUCCUUAAUAUUUGUCAUUUCACAAAAUCAUAAAUGACAAUAUUCUUCCUAUUUUAUCCUGAGAGUUAUUAAACUUGAAAGUAUGAAUUUGACCAACACAUGAAAACUAAAUAAUUAAUUCAUGUUCAUUGGUCAAUUUAAUUAACCAAAAUUAAUUAAUUUAUGUUCAUUUAUUGAAACUUGAUUUCAAAAUAAUACUAAAUAAGGGUACACUUAUAAACUUAAAUAUUUUUUUAAGAGACGUAAAAUCUAAAAUAAUAACAUAUAAAUGAUAACGGACGGAGUAUCUCAAUUCUCACCAAUCAACGAUUCCAUUAAAGAGAGGAAGAAUAUUUGGCACGGCGUACCUAAAAGGCUAUUUUUAUAAGCCACACACAAUUAUUUUCUCUUUCUCCCUCUCCACUUAAUUAAUUCUCGUGAGGUCCAUAAAAAAAAAAGAAUCUUUUUAUUUUCUUAUAAAUCAUUCUCAAUACUCAAAAUUAAAGAUUUUGAACAAUGGUUAAUUGGACAAUCACGUUCAUCCCACCACAUUUUGAAUGUUCAUGUUAUUGAAGUUAAAUUAUAUAUACCAUUUUUAUUAUUAAGGGAAUUAUUUGGUAGAGUUAUACACAUAUUAGUAAUGUAGGAUUAAUUAUGAGUGAUUUAUAUUUUAUUUUAAGCAUGAAUUAUUUAUUCAUAUAGUAAUUAUACUUGUAUUAAUUUUCAACCUUCUAUCAUACAUAAAAUACUACAUAAAUUUCUUCAUCACUUAAACUUAUAUUAGUUAUGCAGAUUUCUUAAUCGUCAACCAAAUCCCAUAUAAUAUAUAUAAAUGAAUAACUUAUUUCUUAUUUACAAACCAAACGUCAUAUAAGGACCUAUUUGGGUGAGCAUAUAAAAAGCAAUUUAUAAGUUAAAACUUAAAAAGUCAUAAGUCAUUUGAAUUUUGAUUUAUUUUAAAAUUAUUUUAGCCUAAAAGAAAGUAUUUUAUAACUUUUUCAAAUACCUCGAAAUUUUAAGAAGUGCUUAAAAGUAAAAAAAAAACACUUAAAUAUAAGUUGAUUAAAAUAUGGGCAUAUAAUAUAUACUAUUUCUUACCAAAUAAUGAUGUGUUAGAUUGAUAAAUAUUCCUUCAUUCUUAAUAAUAAAAAUUUGAAUUCAAGUACUGUAAAUAUAAAAUCAUUUUUAGUUGGAAGUGUUUUAUCUUCCAAGCUAGAGUUUUCUUGUGUAAAUUUAAAUUAAUCGAACUUUAAAAAAAUGAGAUCAAACCUCAAGAAAAAAAACAAAAAUAAUAAUUAUAGACCACCUUUUCUCAUUUAUGAUUGUUUUUUCUCUUUCCCCUAUACCUAUCAAAUGGGCCAAUUGGCCACACCCCUAAGAUCCUGGCUCUACCACAUCUAUUAUCUCAUCCAUUGUAUCCAUCCAUUUAUUAUUGUCUUCCUUCUCUCUCUCAUUACCUUUUCAUUCACCCAAGUGCCAACACACAUUUAUUGCAAAACUCCAAAUCCACCUUUUUCCACUCUUAUGUUCAACUUACCUUCUUGCCCUUCAUUUUGUUUAAUUUUCUUUUGAGACGGAAAGUAGAAUGUAGAGAUCUCGUAGAAUGUAUAUAGAUCUUAUUACUCCUAUUUUAAGAAUGUAAAAAUAUUUUUUGAAACGCAAUUGAUUCGAGUGUAUUAAGUCCAAAUAAAAGAAGAAGAACAUGUUGAAGAAAGCAUAAUAGUUCAUAAGAAAAUAGUGUAACGUCUACAAGAAAGAAGGAAAAUAGAAAUAUAAUCAAAAUACAAGUCUCUUUCUAUUUUGAUGAUCUUAAUAUCAACAAGACUAUACGUUAAACGAUAUUUUAAUAUAUUUACAUAUUUUUAAUUUAAUACCACGAGAUUUCAUUUUAUUUUAUUUUUACUUUCUUGAAGAAACUUAUCUACUUGCCUUCUCAUUUUACAUAGUUGGACAGAGUUAGGCAAGCUGUGUGACUUAUUUUAUUUAUUAUUGUACAUAGAAAAAACGAAGAGUUUAGUUUAAUAAAUUUUGUUGACUUAUCAUUCCGUGAAGUCCUUUUUUUAAAAAAUAAAUUAAACUAAAACAGUUAGAUUUACGUCUCUGUUAAUAUUUAUUGGCUUAAUUAAUAACAAUUUGAAAUGUGACAAUAAAAGCCAAAUAAGAAAUUAGGGAACCUAACCUUACGUAUCUAUUUGUUCCUCUAACUUCAUUAAUAUAUCACAUCUCUCCCCAAUUUUUGGGAAUCUAUAAAAUGAAAAACUAUAGUCUAUAAUUUCACACUAAUUACAUCAUUAAUGAUAGUAGGGGUACGCAUAAGAUCAAUUUGUCAAUCUUGAAUUAAUGGUUUGUGUUGUGGAUUAUUGAACUUAAAUUCAACUUGGUUAUAAUUGUUCUCAAAGUUAGGAUCAGAGAUGUCUUUUUCUGUGUUUCUUUACCUUGUUAUACUUUAACGAUCUACAAUGUAUUUUUUAAAACUUACACUCUUAUUAGAUGUCAGUCUAAUAUAAGUCAAUUUGACAUUGAAUUGGUAAUUUGAAAUAAUUGAGUAUAUAGUAAAAGCAAUUAUGUUUGUUAUUCUACCUAUGCUUUAAUGCCUAUAUCAAAGCAAAAUUGGACUGAUUCUUCAAUCUUGAUUUUAGUUUUUCCAUUUCGAUCUAAAUUUGAAUAAUUAUCUCUACAUAGAUCGACACUAGAAUUGAUUAAAAGCUUUAUGGACAAAAGUGAAAUGGAAUAAAACUUUUAAGGACAAAAUAACAAAUUUCUAAAUAUUCUCAAAAAACAUAAAUGUUUGGUAUGGAGGAAUUCUUUUUCCAAAAAAUAUUUUUCAAUUUUCUAAAGAUUUGAUUGGUCAAAAUAUUUUUUUUAAAUAUUUUCUUUAAGAAAAUAAAUUCCUUGAAAUGAGAAAAAUGAGAAAAAUGACUUCCUUAAUCAAAUAGAAAAAAAACAAAUUAAAUGAACAACACUAUAAAUUUAUUAUCUCUUCUCCAUAUCCUAACUCCCACCACACCAAAACCCUCAUUUUUCAUCACAUCCUAUUUCAUAGUAUUUUAUUAAAUAAUUUAUAAUAUAUAUAUAUAUAUCGAACAUUAGGAAAUAAGUAAGGUAUAACACACCUAGGUAGAAAAUUCCACAUGCAAUACUAAUUGAAACUUCUUUAAUUAGAAGAAAAAAAGAAAGGAUAAAUUGGGUAAUUUGCAUACAUUUCUAAGUCCUAUCCAACUUUUGCCUUUUAUAUCUCAUCCUUUUUUUCUCUCUCUUUUUAGUUGUGGUUGUAGAUAUACUUUCCCUUGAAUGACAACAUAACUUUUUGACCAUUAAAGUAAAUGAUGUAAACUCCAAACAUUUUGGUUAAAAAAUAAAAGCAUAUAAUAUAUAAAUAUAUUUAUUAAUUUAGCUUUAAUUGAUUGUAUAAAUAAAUAUUUAAUUUUUUAUAAAAAUAAACAAAUAGAUAUGUAUUUUAUAUAACGUGCUAUGUGAUAAAUUUAAAUGAUAUCUUAUAUGUAUUAUAGCAUAUAAAAUACGUGUGUCUAUUUAUUCAAUUCUCGGACGAUCUUCAACUUUCCCUUUGCUAUUUUAAGGCCACUAUUGUACCUCACACACGGCUUCACAUUUUUCCUCUCAAAUGAACAACUCCGCCACCAUCACUGUCGCAGCCGCAGAUACAGCAGCCGGAGCUGCUGUAAAACGCCGGAAAAAACUUCAUCAACAUCAUCAGUAUGAGUCCUUGAUUCUUGGACUUCCUGAUGAUAUAGCUCAGAUUUGUCUUUCUCAUGUUCAACCUUCAACUCUUUACUCCGUUUGUCAAUCAUGGCGUCGGCUUGUUUAUUCUCCUUCGUUUCCCCCCUUUUUAUCCAUAUAUUCUCUACUGAAGCCAUCUAAAUCUGAGGAGAACUCCGUUCAGUUCGCGAAUUUCGAUCCGAUUUCAGCAAAAUGGAAUUUACUUCCUCCGCCUCCACUUAAUCCACCUCUCCGUCUCCUUCUCCGUCACCGUUCGUUCAUCUCCCGACACCUUCCGAUUCAAUCGGUAAGCGUUUCCGGCAAUUUUAUACUCCUCGCCGCGACGACUGACCCUUUGCUCCCGGCCUUAUCUCGUCCUCUUGUUUUCAACCCGCUUACUCGUAAAUGGACCUCCGGUCCCCGGUUCAAAACUCCGAGACGAUGGUGCGUUGCGGGCGCGUCGCAGGGCGUGGUGUUUGUUGCGAGUGGGAUUGGGUCAAGCUAUAACCCAGAGGUAGCUCGAUCAGUUGGAAAGUGGGACCUGAAAAGUAACUGCACAAAGUACAGCUGUAACCAUCACGAUAGAAACAAGGUCUGGAAAUGGGAGAAAAUGAGUGGUCUCAAGGAUGGGAAGUUCAGUAGGGAAGCGAUUGAAGCAGUAGGCUGGAGAGGGAAGCUCUGUAUGGUAAACGUGAAAGGCGAUGCAGCGAAAGAAGGAAUAAUCUACGACGUCGGAAGUGACACGUGGCAGGAGAUGCCGGAGGGGAUGUUGGUUGGAUGGAGAGGUCCGGUGGCGGCGAUGGAGGAGGAAGUUAUUUAUACGGUGGAUGAAUCGAAAGGAGCAUUGAGAAAGUAUGAUCCAGGAAGUGAUAGUUGGAUUAUGAUUUUGGAAAAUGAGAUGCUUAAAGGUGCACAACAUAUGGCUGCUGCCGGCGGUAGAGUUUGCGUGGUUUGUGGCGGCGGUGAUGGGAUAGCGGUGGUGGAUGUGACGGCUGAGCCGCCGAGUUUGGUGGUGGUGGAAACUCCGGUGGGGUUUCAGGUUUUGGACGUACAUAUUUUGCCAAGGAUGAAUCAAUUGGAUUCUUAAUCAAAAGAUGAAUAUUGAAUAAUAGUGUAUUAUUUCCAAUUUUUUAGUAAUAUUUUUUAGGUAUAUUUGGGAUUAUAUAUUUUUUGAAACGUUUUCACUUUAUCAUACUUUCUCACACGUUAAGGAGUGUACUGUUUUCUAUAUUAACAAUGGCAUUUUCACUUAUCAUAUUUCUCCAUAUAGUGUUUCUGAAUAAUUCUAAAUUCUUGGAUACGUUCUGUAAUUCGUCGCACACAAUAUUGUCUGCAAAUAACAUACACCAAAAAUAUCAUUCUGCGUUUUAUAUUGUCAUUUUUUUGCCCAUCUAUAAUCAAGAGUAAACGAGCAUGAUCGAAAUAUUGAUGUGAAAUCGUAAUAUCAUUAAAAAAAAUGAUUUUGUAUCUUGUAUAUAUGUUGUCACUCUAGUAAUUGCUUCUUCGUAUAUACAAAUGGUAUUAUAAGUGAUUUUGCUUACUCUCUAAUUUGGAGUUGAGCGUAUAGACAUCAUGAAUGACAAAAUCUUUUUCUCUUUUUCCUAUUUUUGCCUACCGUUGGUUUUAAUUGGUAGGGGUUUCGUUUUAAAAACUAACAAGUCAGAAUUCACCGACUAGAGUUAUAGUGGAGUGAUACGUAUUCUUUUAUCAUUAAUCAAAUGUCUCGAGUUUGAAUCUCUUGUAUAUGGAGUCUUCUUUGUUAGAAGCAUUUUAUCUACUUUCUCGCACGAAUCUGAAUUUAAUCGAAUUUUAAUAUGAAUAUCGGACAGCUAAUGAGAAAAAAAAAAUCAGAAUUUGACUGUGGGCCAAAGCCCAAAUAUAACCCACCGAAUUUUGACUUAUUAUUUGGCAUCUUAUUGUUCGAUGGGAAACCAAAAUUUAGGUCCAUUUUGUAUAUUCAAUUUUCAAAUUAACAAUAAAUAUAUAUUAUACCUUUUUACUUUCUAGAGUCCUCAAAAGGGCAAAAGUCAUUAAAAGUACUUUGUUGAUCGACCUUUUCGAUGGACGAUUAAAAGUCAACGAAAUCAUGUUAACUUUUUACAUUUAUUCCACUAUAAUAUUCCAAACAAUUACGUAAAUAUAUAUAUGGCAAUAUCAAAUUUUGUCGGAAUAUAUUAUCCUAACUGAAAUGUUCAAGGCAUAUACAAAGGUAGAAGUAUGGAGGAAGACAAGCAAAAUUAGAAUUUCAAUUUUACGGACUUUGAUUUUAAAUAAUAAUUUUAAGUGAUAAUAUUUGUACAUAUUUAAUAUAUUUAUUAACAUAUAUACAUUGUUUAAGUAAAAUCUACUGGUUCAGACGAACUUGCAUGUGGGCUACUAGCUUGCCCCUCGAGAUACAAACAAACAACAAUGAUUUAUCUACUGUAUUUUUACAAAGUGUGGUCCGAAAAAAGUAAGAUAUACGGAGAUUCUAUCUUUACCUUUAUGUUGUAGAAAUAUUGUUUUUGAUAGACCUCCCGCUCAAAAGAAAAGAGGAAUUCAAAGCACGAUUAAGGAAAUAAGAGACCAGAAAAGAUACAUAAAGACAUUAGAGCAAUAAAUAGUACUGAAUGACAAAGAAAAUAUGUGAUUUCUAAAUAUGAUUAUGUAUAAAGAGGGGAGACUAGCCCUGUGCCUCUCCCACAUGAAAUACAACAACUCUCGGCUAUCGACUCACCUUCUAUCAAAAUUCCCGACCUCCAUCCUUUCUCUUUAGGGAUCAUGUCUUUAAUAUGCUUAAGUUGUGUGAUGUCAUAUCUAACCAUCUUUCUCAGUUAUUCUUUGGCUUACCUCUAUCCCUCCUAACUUCUAUUAUAGCCAAACUUUUAUACUUCCUGACGAGCACGUCCACACACCUCCUAUUCACAUGCCCAAACCAUCUCAACCUCGUUUAUCUCAUCUUACAGAGGUCACUCUCAUCUUGUUAUGUGGAUCUUUGUUUCUCUAAUCUUAUCUGUUUUAAUAUCUCCACACAUCCAUUUAAGCAUCUCUAUCUAUGAUAUAUUCAUCUUUUGAACGUAAUCAUUCUAGACUGACCAACAAUUUGUCCCAUAUUACUGUAUGACCACACAUCCAUCUCAAUAUUCGUAUUUUUGACAAAUUCAUUAUGAAUAUGUUGGAUCUUAAAGGUGCAACAUUCACUGAAACAUAAUAAUACCGAUCUUAAUAUUAAUCAUUUUGUAGAACUUGUGUUUAAUUUAAGUAUAUAUCCUCCUUUAUAUAACAUAUUCCUAGCAAUUUUUCAUUUCAGCCAUCUAACUUUGGUUAUAUAUUUGAGUAACAACUUUGCUUAUCAUACUUUCUCUUGGAAUAUGGAACAUAGAUCCAUCAAAUAUUGCAUAACAUACACCACAAUCACGUCGAAUCUCAUGUUAAUUAACCUCUAUCAUGUUUUUCUUGUGUUUGUGAUUUAAGAAUUGGUCAGGUUCUAGUGACCGGGGGCAAUGUUUGAAGUUUGAAUGUUGACCAUGUUAAGCAAUAUUUAUCGAUAAUUCCUCUAAUUAAUUCAUCGCUAAAUAGUUUCUAGUCGCUAAUUCAUAGCCGAAUGAAAUAACAAACUCCCUCUAUCCCAAUUUAUGUGACACUUUUCGUUUUUCGAGAGUCAAACAGUUUAAGUUUGAUCGGGAAUUUGCGCAUGGAAUCUUCAAUUUUUUUGAAAUGAAAUUUAUAUAUUUGUAAACUACGUAAAAAGUACUAUAAGUCACAAUAAUUGAUAAUUUAAAAUGUUUAAAAGAUCUAUGAAAAUUUUACAAUCAAAGAUAAACUUGUUUGAAUCUCGAAAUCUGAAAAGUGCCAUAUAAAAUAAGACGGAGGGAGUAAGAUUUUUGUUUUUUUAGUUACAGAACUUUGUCCCUUGUUAAUUCCUUAUUUUCUCGUAGAGUACUGUUGCAAUUUGAAUAUACUUCAUAGAUUAUAAAUGUUAUUAUUUUUAUUUAAUGAAUGAUUCCAUCGAUACUCUUAAGCUCUUAUCUUUCAAUAUCCAUUUGGAUAAAAAAAGUAUUUUCAAACGAAAAAUGUGAAAGAGUUUGGUCAAUAAUAGAAUAAUAAUCUUUUAUUUUUAUUGACCGAAAAUAUAUACUUUUUUUCUGGGUAGAGUGAGUUUCUUCCUCGUGCAACUUGUUUAAUAAAUAUGAAAAUGAAAAGAAGUGUGGAUUAUAAGUGAUUUUUUCUUCCUCUCUAAUUUGGAGUUGCGAGUACAAUUAUCAUGAAUGUCAAAAUCUUCUUCUUUUCCUAUUUUGCCUACCGUAUUUCGUUGCUCAUUGGGUGUCUAUAUUCGCAUUGAAAUUCAAUUAUUUUAAAUUUGCGUUGUGUAAGGCUUCAUUUGAGAGGAAACGCUCCCUACCAAGAACCUUUUAAUACAUAGAGUUCGAAUUCGAGACCUUUGGUUAAGAAAGAAGCAGCCUCAUCUACUAUACAAAAUAAUUAAUUAUUGAUUAUAUAUAUAUUUGGUGCAAAAAAUCGCCAAAAAAUCGACGGACUAAGAGAUGCCGUCCGUCGCCUUUUGUAAAAUAAUUUAAAAAAUAUGUUUUUUUAUUUAAAAGCGACGGACAGUGUGGCAAUUGGCGUCACUUUCCGUGCUUUUUGACAGUUUUUUAGUAGUGUCUGAUUGUACCGUUAGUUUUAAUUGGUAGGGGUUUAGUUUUAAAACGUACUCCCUUCGUUCCAAUUAGUUGUCACUUUCCUUUUUACCUACAUAUUAAGAAAUUAUAAAUAAGAAAAUAAUUUUAUUAAUUCACACCUUAAAACAACUUCUUAGAAAUUUUACAAACUAAUGUGAACAGUUUUUAAAAAAAUUAGUUGCAAGGAUGAUAUAUGAAAAAUCUAACUAAUGAUUUAUUGAGUUAGUAAGAUGUUCAAGAAAUAACUAUUUUUAAUAAGAUGAUUAGCUAAUAUAGAACGAAGAGAGUAAUAAGUCGGCUGUGGGCCAAAUAUAACCACAAAAUUAUGACUUAUUAUUUGGAAGCUUAUGGUUUGAAGGAAAGUUCGAUGGGAAGCCAAAAUUAAAGUCCAAUUGUAUACACUCAAUUUUCAAAUUAAUAACAAUGAAUAGACACACUUAUUUUACUUUCUAGAGUUCUCAAAAGGGCAAAAGUCGUUAAAAUAGGAAAAAAACAAACUUCGUUGAUCGUUGAUUUAAAGUCAACGAAAUCACUACGUAAAAAUAUUUAGGCUAAUACUAAAUUUAGUAGAAAAUCCUAACUGAAAUGUUCAGUAGACACUCGUGCAUAUAUAGAAGUAGAAGUAUGGAGGGAGACGCUAACAAACAACAACAAUUUAUUCUGUGCUUUUUCGCAAAAUGAGGUACGAAGAAGAGAGUGAAAUGUACGUGGAUUUUACACUUAAUUUUAUGAUAUGAAGAGGUUGUUUUCGAUAGAUCCAUCACUAAAAAAGAAAGAGUCGAGAGAAAUAUUUUUAUUUAGGGAAAAGGUUUAUAAAUACCCCUCUUCCACUUUUGGGUCUAAAAAUACCCUUAAGGUUUAUGUUUGAGCUCAAAAAUAUCUCCAACAUAAAAAAUAAAUAAAAGAAAUCACUUGACAAAAGUUUAUAUUUUUAUAUCAUAAUAUAACACCAAUUAUGUUGUGUAAUUUCAAGGAACUUAUAUUGGUAGAGACAUAAAUUUAUUUCAUAACCACAAAUUAUAAGGACAUAAACUUCACUUUCAAAAUGUCAUGUCUUAUGAAGUUUAUAAUCCACAGGUUAUGCCUUACAAGACAUAGUUAUGUUCCUACAAAACCUUAAGGCAUAACUUAGAGCCUGUUUGGAUAAGAUUAUUUUAAGUGUUUUCAAGCCAAAAUAGCUUUAACGCAUUUUUAGAGUGUUUGGAUAAAUUUAAAAAAGUGCUUAUAAGCAGUUGGUUUUAAGACCAAAAAAAAAAGUAAAAAUUAGGCAAAUGACAUAGUAUAAGAAAGAAAUUACUUCCUUUCCCUACUCUUUCAUUAAUUACCAAAAAUCCCUUUUUUUAGUGUUUUUCGGAUACAUAAUAUAGCAGCGCAGAUACUUUAAUUAAUAACGGGCGGAUACUUAAAUUAACAGGCGGAUGCAUAAUAUAGCAGCGCGGAUACUUUAAUUAAUACNNNNNNNNNNNNNNNNNNNNNNNNNNNNNNNNNNNNNNNNNNNNNNNNNNNNNNNNNNNNNNNNNNNNNNNNNNNNNNNNNNNNNNNNNNNNNNNNNNNNNNNNNNNNNNNNNNNNNNNNNNNNNNNNNNNNNNNNNNNNNNNNNNNNNNNNNNNNNNNNNNNNNNNNNNNNNNNNNNNNNNNNNNNNNNNNNNNNNNNNNNNNNNNNNNNNNNNNNNNNNNNNNNNNNNNNNNNNNNNNNNNNNNNNNNNNNNNNNNNNNNNNNNNNNNNNNNNNNNNNNNNNNNNNNNNNNNNNNNNNAGCACGGAUACUUAAUUAACGGGCGGAUGCAUAAUAUAGCAGCGCGGAUACUUUAAUUAAUACGGGCGGAUACUUAAACUAAUAAAGUAUCCGGUUAAGUUGAAUUGGGGGAAAAUAAGGGAUUUUUGUAUUUUAGUAAAAGAGUAGGGAAAUAUUGAAAAUAUGUAAAGAAGUGUUGUGUAUUUAAGUAAUUUAAACCAAAAAUCAUAAAUUAUAAAUUCUAGCUUAUGAUUAUAGGUCAAAAGCAAUAAUAAGCCCGUUCAAACAAUUCUAAUUAUUACUUCUAAACUUAAUACCUUGCAAAUUAAAUACUACACAACUUCUGUCGGAUAAGAUAAAAGUUUGCCAAGCUUACACCUAACGAAAUUAGGUCAUAGCUAAUGGUACUUUAACGAGAGAACAAACAUCAAAGACUGUUAUAUUGGAUAGCAAAAAUGAAAGACCACCCGAAAAUAGAAACAAUUCGCACAAAAACUUGAAAAUAUCCCUACUAUUUACCAUGCUUAUAUCCAAGAUGGGCUGGGCUAGCUGUAUUGGGCGUGGUAGACUUUUUGAGCCCAUUAUACAAAACCCGAAUAAUGAACCCAUUUAGCAGGGCUUGUUAUCCCAAUUCAUUUCAAUUUCUCCAUUAUCUUUCCCCUUUAAACCCUAAAUAAACCCAGCUCAAAUUCUUGUUCAUCCAGGUUGAAUUUCGUAGCAUCUGAUUUUGAAUUGCAUCUCAAGUAAGGUAAAACACUCAAUUUGUGCGUGAAUUUUUGUAUUUUUCAUGUUCGUGUUAGUGUUUAAUUUGAUGUGUAGUUGUAAAUUGAAAUGGAAUAGAAUUGUUACAUAUUGAAGUUUUCGUACAAUUCUGAAAUGUUGAAAUUCCCGUUGGAAAAUUGUUUUUCGGAUAUGAAUUUGAGAAUUAGUCAAAUUUAAUAUCGAAGAUCGAAAAAUAGACUUUUUGGAGCAGAGUAUUAUUGUUGUAAUUGAAGUGGUUGUGCCCUUAUUUUGUUUCGUUUACUAAUUGUCAUGAUAAAUUAUCAGCUGAACUUUGAAGUGAGGGCUGUUGUGGUUCUACAUUUGCUUGAAAACACAUGGCUGAGAGACAUUCUGUUGAUCAACAGCAAACUCCUGAAUCACAAAUGCAAUCUCCUGCUUCAAGGGAUGACAUGAUUGCGUGUGUUAUGGCAUUAGAGGCUGCUUUGCUUCCCUGUUUGCCUGCACGAGAGUUACAGGCAAUAGACCGUUCAGCCCAUCCUUAUCAUCAGAGUGAGUAAAUUUUGGCUCAUUAUAUAACCUGUCUUUUGCUUGAACAAGUAAAAUUAUAUCUGGAGUCUUGUAUCUACUGAUAAUCGUUGAAGGAUGAGAUUAGUUGUAAUGCAUCAGUCAGAAGAAUGCAGCAUAGCAUAAUUGUUACUCCUACACUCUGUAUGCUUACUUUUGGUUGGCUGUCAAAAUUUACUUUGGGUCCUCUGCUUUGAGCUGGAGUACUGUCAGAAAAUUUAGCUAUUUGACGAUCUAAAACUCUCUGGGAAUAUUUUGCUUUUAAGUUGACGUCUUGCUCCAUUAUCCAUUUCAAUACCAGUAAAGCCCUACUAGCACUGAUCCAAUGAAGCUUUUGUCUUGUUGGAGUUGGCUUUAUGACCAUGAUACUAGGUCUUUGAAUAUUGCAAUUUUCCUAAGCUUCUUAGUCAAUCAAUCAAUCAGUCAACUAUCCUUUAAUCUCAAACUAGUUUGGACUUUGGGUUGGCUGUAUGAGUACAGAGUAUUCCAUGUCUAAUACGAUCUACUCGGUCUAUAACAUUCCAAUUGUCAGUUAUUUCUCUUAAAAGACAACUUAAGAUUUUAAAACUAGAUGCUCUUUUUAUUCCACGCUUACCUCUACACUGAUAUACUAAUCUCCUACAAAACUAAAUAAUCUUUGCAAACACAAUACCUAAUAAAAGUGUUAUAGUAACAACUAAAUCCUUAAUCCCAACUUUUAGCGAUAAUGACUCUUAGUUACCUUUGUAAUUUACCUGAGUCUACACUCUAUUACUCGUUUCUAGAGUUUCAUCAUAUGUCCUGUAGAAAUGGUGACACUUUCAGGUUCUGAUGAUGGUUCCCUAAGACCCUAACACCUAUGCAGGAAUAAAGUUUGGAUUUUCCCCUUUUCAAUUUAGGCUUGUGUUUGUUUCUCUUUUUCCAUUUUAUUUAUUCGUUGUGCUAAUUCAUGCUUGUUCAAGUGUAGUAAUUUUCAUCUUUUUCCUUCUUUUUUUUCUGAAUGAGUUGCAAUUUUUUUGUUUCACAGUUGAUGUUGAGAGGCAUGCGAGAGAUUUCAUGGAAGCAGCUAAAAAGCUUCAACUUUUUUUGAUUGGUUUGCAACGCGAGGACCUGCCGUCCAAGCCAGAUAUGCUUAGAAAGGUAAGUUAGGGUAACAAGAAACUAAAAUAAUAGAAAAUAAUCUUUUUUGAUGAUAUGAGUUCUUAGAGAACUAUUAGUGUUUCCCAUGAAUUUUGGCAUUGUUAAUGGAGUGUUGUGGAUUCCAAUUAAUAUGAACAGGAGAUUGCAAAAAUGGAAGAAGAGUUGAAAACAAAAACUGAGCUUAUAAGUAAGCAGGAAAGACUGAUCCAAGAAUGGAGGAAGGAGUUGAACGAUCAAUUAGACAAACACAACAUGGAGUUGGAAAGGGUGUAAACCUACUGCGGAGCUUAUAAGUAAUUUGAAACAAAAACUUAGCUUAUUGUUUUCUCUGCUCUCAUCCUGUAUUUGAAGGCGGUAGAAGGCAACAAGCUCGCUACAGAGAUGACUUGUUGCUACAACAACAACAAACCCAGUGUAAUCCCACAAGUGGAGCGAGAUGACUUCUUGUUAGUGUGUUUAAAUGACAGGUUGAGGUAGAAUGAGCAUAGUUUGUUGACACAAGGCGGAUAAUUCAGAAGACAUAUAACUCAUUGUUAAUGUAGCUCACUGCGUAUUAUUUUCUCAACUGCGAUGCCAAUUCCCAUACAUCUUAUUUAUAGAUGGAGAGUACAUUGUUGAGCUUUAUGUAUGCCUAGCAUGUUAGAAGAGUUUCAGUUUUACUGAGAACUUCAUCUUCAUGAUGUUUCUGCAUUUUAAGGUUUUUCCUGCGCGCUGAACUCAUUGAUACACUAUGGAAUUUCUAUCUUCUAUCUAUUUUGUUGUUUGGAAGUUAAAAGGUCUGGAUCCUUCACCACAUUCUCUCCCUUGGUUCUUAGAUUGUAAGUAUAUCUUCCCUUUGCUGUUCAACCAACACUAAUACCUUGAGUCGAUCGUGUCAUGCGCAACGUUCAUCAAUGAUAGCUUAUUAAUGUCAAUUGAUUUAGACUCCUUCCUUCUUCUCAACUAAGAAAAAGAUCGAGAGGGGCCCGAAAGCCCCAGAAUGGAAACUGAAUUUGAUUCACUCUCUAUUGUCUCUUAAAUAAAUAAAGCUCGCCCUGGGCCAGGUCUUUCCCUGGACGAUAAGACUUUCCAAUGAGUAGCUAGGCUAGGGCUUAUUCUGAUUCACUUGCUAUGGCAUUCAUAGCAUCAAUUCCUUGCAUCCCUAAAGCGAUAACUUCUCUAAUUUGUUGCAUCCCUUGUGAUCAAGUUACCCUUAACUUGAAAUCAAGCUCUUAUUCUAGUUUAUAUCAACACGUUGGUUGAAAAUAAUAAACUCGAUAAUUAAUUAAUACUAAUACAAGACUUCACCUAACCACUACUAAGACUCAUAAUCAUGAAAAAAGUUUUUUUCAAUUUGCAACUUGUACAAUGCACUUGAACAGUAUGUCAAAACUCUACAAAAGCUUUUGCUCGUUCACAAACACCUAGUAAACUCAAGCUCUUCUUCACCUUGUAUUCAUUCGAUCCAAUUUACUUUGCCCAUCAUCAAAACUUCGAAAGGCCCUACACACAUUUGCAAAUUAGAUUAUAGGAAUAUCCACUUAAUUUACUUUUUUAUUUAUUUUUGAAUUCAACAUCCACUAGUGGAGCUAAUACUUUUUUACUUUUUUUCUUAAAACUUUUUCGUAAUCCAAGGCAUCUCGAAUUGAAGGAGAAACAUGUGCCUAAUGGGUUAUUAUAAAGUCUACUUGCUUUCUUUAAUAAGACUUUUACUCCCUCCGUCCCAUUUUAUGUGGCAACAUUUGACCGGGCACGGAGUUUAAGAAAUAAAUGAAGAUUUUGAAAUGUUUACUAAAUUGCCCUUUAAAAAGUAGACUCUUUUUUCUCUCUUCUCAUAAAUGUAUUGGAGUAUUAUUUUAAGAUUAAGUGGGACCAACAAGGAUAAAAGAGAAAUUGUACCUUUAUAAACUUACCAUAUAAGGAAAUGUGACAUUCUUUUUGGGACUGACCAAAAAAGAAAUAGUGCCACAUAAAAUGAGACAGAGGGAGUAAUUCUUUUCAGAAAUCGCACCUUUUUAUUAAAUAGUAGUAGUUGUUUUGAUGUAUUAUUAUCGACUGGCUAGUGGUGCAAUUAUUUAUUCUAUAUAUAUUCCAUUAGUAGCUGCUAUCUAAUACAGAACAAUUAUAAGUCCACUUGCUUUCUUUAAUAAUAAAAUAUUAUUGUCAGAAAUCGCACCUUUUCAUGAAAUACUUAAUCCAUUCGUCAUAAUUUAUAUGAGUUAGUUUAAUUUGACACGAAAUUUAAGAAGAAAAAAGAAUGACUUUUGAAAUUUAUGAUUUAAAAUAAAUCAUAGAUAUUUGUGUGACUGUAAAUUAUUUUAUUAAAGACAAAAUAGACAUUUUAAAAAUUAAAUUCUUACUAAAUAUGAAAAUGUAUCAUUUUUUUUAAACUGACUAAAAAUAAAAUUAAAUCAUAUAAAUUGUGAUGGAGAAAUCUUUAUUACAGUAAUUGUUUUUAUCUGCUUAUUAUUGACUUGUGGUGUAAUCAUUCAAUAUAUAUUCCAUUUGUAGCUGUUAUUUACUAGUACUACAUAUUGUAAGUCUUUUUGCUUUCUGUAAUAAUAUAAUAAUUCUAGUCAGAAAUCGCACCUUUUCUUUAUAUAAAAUAAUCUAGUGGGGUAAAUAUAUUCAAUACUAUAUGUUAUUAUUGUGUAUGCUACAUUAUUUUAAGGUUACUAGUCCUUUCUAGAUCCACAUGCUAUUGUUCCUAAUCUUGUUCCCUAUUUUUUAUUAAAAGUUAGGAGUCUCAUAUAAAAAAUAUGUGAAUUAUUCCAAGACCAACAUAUCAUUCCAAAACUGAAUACACUAACUAGCAAAAGUAAUCGUUAUAGCUAAAAUUCAUUGAAUCAUAUCAAAUAUUUCCUCUGUCCCUAAUUACUUGUCCAUUUUUAAAUUGACACAGUUAUUAAGAAAUCAAUAAUUAACAUAGUGAAUUUACCAUUUUACCCCUAUUAAUUAUGAAGUGGAUGAAUUAAAAACUUAAUAUUUUCAAGAAAGGUAGUUGAUUUGUCAAAAUGAACAACUAAUUAGGGACAACUAAAAAAGGAAAUGUGAACAAGUAAUUAGGGAUGAGUAAUAAUAUGUGAAUUAUCCCAAGACAACAUAUUAUGCACUUGUAACAUUCAUUUUUAAAGCAUUCUCAAAACUAUCCAAAAUGACUAAACAACACAUUUAACAUUUUGUAUGAGAUAAAACAAAGUGAUUUUAAAUUUUCAAUAACAAAAGUAAAUGGUUCUAUGUGAUAAUAAAUCGCUUUUAUUCAAGGAAAUUGGAUUCAUUCGUCUCAAACAUGAAAAUUAAAAGCAAACAAACAGACAAACCAAUAAACAAAAACAGAAUCGUAACAGAUCAUAUCAUGUAAUCUCAGCAGAUUCACUCCACACUAAUUAACAAUCCGCAAGCUUGAUUUCCACACCUCCAAUGGAAAUACCACCUUUCUUUGGUACCAGAGUCACCGCAAUAGUCUCGUCAUCUUCCAAACCAAUGUCCUCCAACAGUUCUGUUAUCGCCAGCUGGAGAGUAGCAGUUGCAGUAUGAUUAGUAUCCCCAACUCUGUGUACAUGUGGUAAGCUAGUAUAGCUCCCCGCGAACUCUGCCUUAUCAAGCUCAUUUGCAUUCACAUUGUUAUCCACGUUCAGGAACACAUCGAACCUUAUGUAAUCUCUGUUAUCAUACUUUAUUUCAUUGAACGUUAGCAUCUCCUCUUGUGCAUUUUUCUCCUGUUGAGUCCUUGACGAAGCAGGCCUAUUGAUGGAAAACGAAAUUGCUUUAUCGAGUUUAGCUAAUGGGAAUACCUGGCUUACGGGAGGAAUUGAACUUGUAUUCACUUUUUUCCCAGCUGAAGCCUUUGUUUUUGGCUUGAAGUUACGCCAUGGGGUAGGCAUUGGUUCGUAAUCAUAUCCCAUCUUCUUCGUAUCCAAACAGUCUCU
rnacentral:lncRNA from 1 species